CUAGGGUAUAUUUACUAAGCUACAUACACUAGGAUGAUCUUUUCUCUUGACGAGGAGGGCUAGGGUUCCAGCCGAGAGGGAAGAGAGAAAACCCCAACUUGAACAAAUUUUAUAUUCCAAGGUGCGUGUACAAGUAUGUAUAUCCUUUUACAAAUAUGCAAAUCGUGCAUUUAGAUACCAUAACGGGAUACAAUGACCCUGAUGAUCAAUCACGAGCUUAUCAAGCAUGCAUGCACGAGCGAGGGAGCCCAUGCAAUGGAUGGAUGCAUCAGAUGGGGCAGGUGAAGUUGGUUGGGCACUUCUUGCCGCACUGGUUGAGGAGGAGGGUCAGGUCGAUGGGGACGUUGAGCUUGAUGCCGANNNNNNNNNNNNNNNNNNNNNNNNNNNNNNNNNNNNNNNNNNNNNNNNNNNNNNNNNNNNNNNNNNNNNNNNNNNNNNNNNNNNNNNNNNNNNNNNNNNNUCGGAUAGGAAAAAAUCUGAAAAUAUAAUAUGGAUGAACAUAUGAAAGAAUUAAAGAAACACACCUUGCUUUAUCACUAGGUAUAGAUAUACUCUUUGGUGAAUAGUAACCUAAAAUUGAAUUACGAGAAUUCUGAAUUUAUUUGUCAGCGUGAAAAAUUAAAUUAACUGUAUCAUUUGUCUUUUGACUUGUUUUUUUGCACAUGUCAACACGCUUAAGCUUUCCCAUUAAAAAAAUGCAGGUGGCAUUUGGGUGUGAUAAUAAACACAUAUAUAUUUUUAAAUUUUAUUUGAAGUUGAUAAAAUACAAUUUAACACGCAACAACAUAUAUAUACUAGCCGAAAGUAAUAUCUGUAUAAUGUGUAACUAUUUUGUUUUACUCAAUAUUUUUUUCAACUAAAUCUUCUAGGCUCUAUCUUGUACCACGACGUUCAAGCAGUAUUGAAAUUAGGACCGCCUAUACGUCAGAUAUAUGAAAAAAGAAUCUGUGUCAGCCAAUUUUCUAAGCCGUUGGAUGGCAGGAUCGUCCCUUCGUUCGGCCUCGCACAAAACACAUUAUGACUGACGCAAAAAAAAUACGUGUCCAUCCGUGCCAAUGAGCCAGUAUAAUAAACCUGUGGCCGACACAUGGCAUGGUGGUUGGUGAUGCAGUGGGCCAGCAGGGUCUGGCAGCGGAGAUCGUGGCGCGUUCCGGUGGCGACAGGGCCGACUGGUGGCACCGGCGGGUUCCCACAGGCAGGUUGGUGGCGACGCUGGGAUGGCUUGGUCAUAAUCGAGUCUUGCGAGCAGCGAGCGGUCGGUCACUUCUAUGCAGCGUGGCAAGCGGUGGUGCUGGCCUGGGUUGCGUGGAGAGGCGGGUCUGAUCGCGGCAAGACCGUCCCUUGGAGUGGGUGACGGCCAUUGUAGGCGGUCCUGGACCUGGCUGGAGGUGCUGGUCGGGUGCGGUUCCUUGUGCAGGCUGGGAGUGGAUGGUGUGGCUGCGGUUUCCCUGUCUGGUGGUUGGUCCUUGGUCCUUAGCUUUGCAGCUAUAUCGGCAAGUGUUGCGGUGGCGGCGGUAUGAAGCUUCUUGGAUAGUGCUACCAAGUCCAUGGAGGUGAGGUGGUGGGCUACGCGCGGAUGAAAAUCUUGCACGGCUUAGGUCGAGCCGGUGUUGGUGACACCCGUGGAUGUCAUUUCCUUCCUUGGAGGCAUCGUCGAGCGUGUUUGCCACCUCCUUCGUCCUCCAGGAGCUGUUAGGAGCAUUGUGUUUGAAGACAAGGCUGACUCCUCGUUGCUCUACUUCGGUGUCCGCCGCGGUCCUUGUUUUGAUCCUAAGUGGCACUAUAUAUGUCUGUCACCGGUUGUUCAAGACGGUGACUUUUCGGUGUGGAUCGAGUCCUGUCAUUGAUCUGCAUCUUUCUCUCACGCACUAAGGGUGGCUGGUGCGUCGACAAGAGACACUCUGCGGAAGUUAUUUGGUCUUCGGUGUUGUUCGGCGUCAGUCAAGACGCGGUGCUUUGUGUCGGUUCAGGAUAAGCUCUUUUGCAUUGUAGCUCGGUGGACGGUGCGGUUUAUCUUUAGGUUNNNNNNNNNNNNNNNNNNNNNNNNNNNNNNNNNNNNNNNNNNNNNNNNNNNNNNNNNNNNNNNNNNNNNNNNNNNNNNNNNNNNNNNNNNNNNNNNNNNNGAGUCCAAUUUCUUGCCGAAACAGAUACAUCUUCGUUUUCAAGGUCUGAAACAGGCUGAUAAACAUCCCUUAUGUACUCCUCUGGAGUUAUGACAUUGAUGAUAUUGGUCUCAACAUUUAUGGGAGUACCAGAGAUGUAAUGCUUGAUUCUUUGCCCAUUUACCACUCUAGGAAAAUUUCCUUCCGUGUUAUUGAUUUUGAUGGCACCGGAACGAUAUACUUCCUCGACAACAUAGGGACCUUCCCAUUUAGAGAGAAGCUUGCCUAUAAAGAAUCUCAACCGAGAAUUGUAUAGCAAGACAUAAUCACCUACAUUGAACUCUCGUUUCUGUAUUCGUUUGUUGUGCCAUCUCUUAACCUUUUCCUUGAACAACCUGGCAUUCUCAUAUGCCUGGGCUCUCCAUUCAUCCAACGAGCUGAUAUAAAACAACCACUUCUCACCGGCAAGUUUGAAAUCAAAGUUGAGCUCUUUGAUUGCCCAAUAAGCUUUGUGUUCCAGCUCAAGAGGUAAAUGACAGGAUUUACCGUAAACCAUUUUAUACGGUGACAUGCCCAUGGGAUUCUUAUAAGCAGUCCUAUAAGCCCAUAGUGCAUCGUCAAGUUUGCUUGACCAGUUCUUUCGACAUCUAUUGACGGUCUUUUGUAGGAUCAAUUUGAUCUCCCUAUUACUCAACUCCACUUGACCACUAGACUGAUGAUGAUAAGGAGAUGCAACUCUAUGGUUGACAUCAUACUUAGCUAGCAUCUUGCGGAAAACACCAUGAAUGAAGUGUGAACCGCCAUUAGUCAUCAAGUAUCUAGGGACUCCAAAUCUUGGGAAUAUGACUUCUUUAAGCAUCUUAAUAGAGGUGUGGUGAUCAGCAUUUUUAGUGGGGAUAGCUUCUACCCACUUAGUAACGUAAUCCACAUCAACUAAGAUGUGAGUGUACCCAUUGGAACUCGGGAAGGGUCCCAUAUAAUCAAAGCCCCAGACAUCAAAUGGUUCAAUGACAAGUGAAUAGUUCAUAGGCAUCUCUUGACGCUUACUGAUGUUCCCUAUCCUUUGGCAUUCGUCACAAGACAAGACAAACUUACGGGCAUCCUUGAAGAGAGUGGGCCAAUAGAAACCUAAUUGCAAUACCUUAUGGGCAGUUCUAUCUCCAGCAUGGUGUCCUCCGUAGGCUUCGGAAUGACACUUCUACAGGAUCUGUCCAUGUUCAUGUUCAGGCACACAACGUCUAAUAACACCAUCUACUCCUUCCUUAUAAAGGUGAGGAUCAUCCCACAAGUAGUGUCUCAAAUCAACGAAGAAUUUCCUCUUUUGUUGAUAGGUGAAACUGGGUNNNNNNNNNNNNNNNNNNNNNNNNNNNNNNNNNNNNNNNNNNNNNNNNNNNNNNNNNNNNNNNNNNNNNNNNNNNNNNNNNNNNNNNNNNNNNNNNNNNNCUUGCCGGUAAACGAGGUUGAAAUAGGUAUACGGAUACUGACGAUCGAAUCUCGGGCAAAUAACAUACCGAAGGACAAAGGGAAUGACAUACGGGAUUAUACGAAUCCUUGGCACUGAGGUUCAAACGAUAAGAUCUUCGUAGAAUAUGUAGGAUCCAAUAUGGGCAUCCAGGUCCCGCUAUUGGAUAUUGACCGAGGAGUCUCUCGGGUCAUGUCUACAUAGUUCUCGAACCCGCAGGGUCUGCACACUUAAGGUUCGACGUUGUUUUAUGCGUAUUUGAGUUAUAUGGUUGGUUACCGAAUGUUGUUCGGAGUACCGGAUGAGAUCACGGAUGUCACGAGGGUUUCCGGAAUAGUCCGGAAACGAAGAUUGAUAUAUAGGAUGACCUCAUUUGAUUACCGGAAGGUUUUCGGAGUUACCGGGAAUGUACCGGGAAUGACGAAUGGGUUCCGGGAGUUCACCGGAGGGGGGCAACCCACUCCGGGGAAGCCCAUAGGCAUUUGGGGGGGUCACACCAGCCCUUAGUGGGCUGGUGGGACAGCCCACCAAUCCCCUAUGCGCCAAGAGAGAAAAAAUCAAAGGAAAGAAAAAAAAAGGAAGAAGUGGGAAGGGGGAAGGACUCCCUCCCACCAAACCAAGUAGGACUCGGUUUGGGGGGGGGAGAGUCCUCCCCCUGGCUCGGCCGACCCCUUGGGGAUCCCUUGGACCCCAAGGCAAGGUCCCCCUCCCUCCUCCUAUAUAUAUGGGGCUUUUAGGGCAGAUUUGAGACGACUUUCUCACGGCUGCCCGACCACAUACCUCCAUAGUUUUUCCUCUAGAUCGUGUUUCUGCGGAGCUCGGGCGGAGCCCUGCUGAGACAAGAUCAUCACCAACCUCCGGAGCGCCGUCACGCUGCCGGAGAACUCUUCUACCUCUCCGUCUCUCUUGCUAGAUCAAGAAGGCCAAGAUCAUCGUCGAGCUGUACGUGUGCUGAACGCGGAGGUGCCGUCCGUUCGGUACUAGAUCAUGGGACUGAUCGUGGGAUUGUUCGCGGGGCGGAUCGAGGGACGUGAGGACGUUCCACUACAUCAACCGCGUUCACUAACGCUUCUGCUGUACGGUCUACAAGGGUACGUAGAUCACUCAUCCCUUCUCGUAGAUGGACAUCACCACGAUAGCUCUUCGUGCGCGUAGGNNNNNNNNNNNNNNNNNNNNNNNNNNNNNNNNNNNNNNNNNNNNNNNNNNNNNNNNNNNNNNNNNNNNNNNNNNNNNNNNNNNNNNNNNNNNNNNNNNNNUUCGCCACCUUUGCUCAAAGGGCCCAUUUCAUCUCCUCUCUGUGAGAAGAGUUUGCACCUUCUUCUCAGCCUCAAUCUUAAUAUUUCUAUCGGACAUAUUAAGAAGUGUAGACUUUGGUUUCACAUCUAACUCAUUAGUGAGCUGCGUCGGCCUCUCUUUUUCCACUUUGUAUAUGCCACUUUGAUUCUUGGCCCAGCCUCUCAAGUAGAAUUUAGUGCAGCACACUAAUUAUUAUUGACUGCGGGUUCAAAGUAGAACUUACUCGCACCACGCAUAUGCAUGUUUGUUAGCAUCUAAAUAUAUUUUGAGUUUAAUUCGCGGAUCACCUUAGUAUUUUAUAUAACCAUCAUCAAUUUUCCUUUUUGAUGGUGCAUUAUUGUAGCUUAAGCUUAAAAAAUCCAUCCAAAUGUGUUACUAUAGUUGUAACCCAUUCUACAUAUAUCUAAGAAAUUGAUCACCACUAACUUAUUUAUCUCAAUAUACAAGCAUAUGCCAGAUCACCAUAUAAUGGACAGGAUAAGAUCUACCUCAGCAUGCAACCAUGUAUCAAAAAAGACCCAAUACCACACGCUACCAUGGAGGUCAAAAUAUUUUUCAUUCAUUUUUUAAGAAAAGGAUCAGAUCUUCUAUAAAAGUUCAUCAAAAAUACAAAGCAUCUCAAACAUAAUAAAAAUUAGAAUGAGAUUCCGAAACCACCGAAUAACCACUAUUACUGACAGAACGUGUCGCCGAUGCAUUGUUGUUGCCGCUCCCCUACUGGAGCAAACUUGACACUGACGAUGACAACCGACAUAUCUUCCCGCACAUGCACGUAAGGACCAACACCCUGGCACCAUAGUUGUCGUUAUUGAACCAUUUCAUAGAUCUGAAGCAACAUGCACCAAAUCUCGUCAGAUGAUGAGAAACCCUAACCUCAUCGCGAGGAGAAGACAACAUGAUUCUACGCCGGAGCUCCGUCGACUAUAUCUAGACGGACAAAAACUUAAUGAGAAUGGGAGCCUAAAAAGAAGCGUCACCAUCCUUCCGAACGCCACAAUGAUAACAACACCGCCAACAACAACCAAGCCUUUCAGUCCCAAAGAAGUUGGGGCAGGCUAGAGUUGAAACCCAGAAGAUCUCGAAGCCAAGUCAUGGCUCUGGAACGUGGAUAGCUAACUUCCNNNNNNNNNNNNNNNNNNNNNNNNNNNNNNNNNNNNNNNNNNNNNNNNNNNNNNNNNNNNNNNNNNNNNNNNNNNNNNNNNNNNNNNNNNNNNNNNNNNNAACGUAGCAAGCAAAGAGUAACAAGUAACAAGUAGUAGAAACAGUGCAGCAAGUGUCCCAAUCCCUUUUGUAGCAAGGGACAAGCCUGAACAAAGUCUUAUAGGAGGAAAAACGCUCCCGAGGACACACGGGAAUUUCUGUCAUGCUAGUUUCAUCAUGUUCAUAUGAUUCGCGUUCGUUCCUUUGAUAGUUCGAUAUGUAGGUGGACCGGCGCUUGGGUAUUGCCCUUACUUGGACAAGUAUCCCACUUAUGAUUAACCUCUCUCGCAAGCAUCCACAACUACAAAAGAAGAAUUAAGACAAAGUCUAACCAUAGCAUUAAACUAGUGCAUCCAAAUCAGCCCCUCACGAAGCAACGCAUAAACUGGGGUUUAAGCUUGUGUCACUCCAGCAACCCAUCAUCUACUUACUACUUCCCAAUGCCUUCCUCUAGGCCCAAAUAUGGUGAAGUGUUAUGUAGUCGACGUUCACAUAACACCACUAGAGGAAAAACAACAUACAUCAUAUCAAAAUACCGAACGAAUAUCAAAUUCACAUGACUAUUAUCAGCAUGACUUAUCCCAUGUCCUCAGGAACAAAAGUAACUACUCACAAGACAUAAUCAUAAUCAUGACCAGAGGUGUAAUGAAUAGCAUCAAGGAUCUGAACAUAAACUCUUCCACCAAGUAAUCCAACAAGCAUCAACUACAAAGAGUAAUCGACACUACUAGCAACCUUACAAGUACCAAUCGGAGUCGCGAGACGAAGAUUGAUUACAAGAGAUGAACUNNNNNNNNNNNNNNNNNNNNNNNNNNNNNNNNNNNNNNNNNNNNNNNNNNNNNNNNNNNNNNNNNNNNNNNNNNNNNNNNNNNNNNNNNNNNNNNNNNNNUGGAUAGCUAACUUCCACGCACCCCUGUCCAUGGCUAAGUCGUUGUCGAUAUUCCAAACCUUCAGGUCUCUCUUAACGGACUCCUCCCAUGUCAUGUUUGGUCUACCACGACCCCUCUUAACAUUCUCAACAUGCUUUAUCCGUCCGCUAUGCACCGGCGCUUCCGGUGGCCUCCGUUGAAUAUGUCCAAACCAUCUGAGACGAUGCUGGACCAGCUUCUCUUCAAUUGGUGCUACCCCAAGUCUCUCUCGUAUAUCGUCAUUCCGUACCCGAUCCUUCCUUGUGUGGCCACAUAUCCAUCUCAACAUGCGCAUCUCUGCUACACCUAACUGUUGGAUAUGUCGUCUCUUGGUUGGCCAACACUCCGCGCCAUACAACAUCGCAGGUCGGAUAGCUGUCCUAUAAAACCUGCCUUUUAGCUUUUGUGGCACUCUCUUGUCACAAAGUACGCUAGAAGCUUGGCGCCACUUCUUCCACCCAGCCUUGAUUCGGUGGCCCACGUCUUCAUUGAUAUCGCCAUCCUUCUGCAACAUGGACCCCAAAUAUUGAAACGUCUCUCUCUCCGGUACCACCUGCCCACCAAGGCUAACCUCUCCAUCCUCGUGCCUAGUAGCACUAAAACUGCACCUCAUGUAUUCGGUUUUAGUUCUACUAAGCCUAAAACCUUUCGAUUCUAGAGUCNNNNNNNNNNNNNNNNNNNNNNNNNNNNNNNNNNNNNNNNNNNNNNNNNNNNNNNNNNNNNNNNNNNNNNNNNNNNNNNNNNNNNNNNNNNNNNNNNNNNUGCACUCUGCAGCAGACAACAUGCACAUAGGAGUACUCUUCUUGAAAACUAAAGGAAAGUCUCGUGGCACAGCUCUCAGGUUUUUGUUCAUUAGCGAACACAUUAAGCUCCAAUGAUGGAUGUCACACACGUAACAUGCCAGUACAAUAAUGGUUGCACAUGAGUUUUGGAAAGUACCACGGCAACACGCAAACUAACUACGUCGAUUGAUAAUGACAUGAACGAGGCACUUGCACACCCCACCCGGUCUAUAAGUACCACGCCAAACAACCCAAGAAAACCAUCCCAAGCUAGCAUAGCCUACAAGCUUAAUUAGCCACAUACCAAAGGGCCUCCUGCCUGGGCUCACCGCACCGGCCACGUGGAGGCCCAUCUGUCCCGGUUUAUGCAAGAACCGAGACUAAAGGUUUAGGGCAUUAGUACCGACACUUUAGUCCCGGUUCAAAAAACGGGACAAAUGGCCCUCACGAACCGGGACAAUAGGUCCUUUUUCUACUAAUGGGAUAAGCUCUUUUGCAUUGUAGCUCGCUGGACGGUGUGGUUUAACUUUAGGUUUGUCCUUNNNNNNNNNNNNNNNNNNNNNNNNNNNNNNNNNNNNNNNNNNNNNNNNNNNNNNNNNNNNNNNNNNNNNNNNNNNNNNNNNNNNNNNNNNNNNNNNNNNNGGAUCCAAUAUGGGCAUCCAGGUACCGCUAUUGGAUAUUGACCGAGGAGUACCUCGGGACAUGUCUACAUAGUUCUUUAAUCGGACUAUUGACUUUAGGUUUAUGGAACGAAAUAUCAAGGGGUUUCUAGAAAACAUAGAAGAUUUUCUGGACUCACUUAAAACAGGACAGUAGGUCGUUUAACCGAAAGGUUAGGAUGUUUUUAGUAAAAUACAAAAUAUUUUUAAGAUUCACUUAAAAUCAGGACCGUGAAAGAAACAAUUGGGUUUAUUUGUUUCCAAAAGGUACGACGGACGGGUAGAGACAUUUAUCCUUUUAUUAAUAAGUAUAGACAUAGACUAGUGAUCUAGAAUAAAUGUAUUAUACUCCCUCCAUUUCUAAAUAUAAGUGUUUCUAGAUAUUUUACUACGAACUAUAUACGGAUGUAUAUAGACAUAAUUUGAAUUGUAGAUUCAUUUAUUUUUAUUGGUAUGUAGUUCAUAGUAGAAUAUUUGAAAAAAAACUUAUAUNNNNNNNNNNNNNNNNNNNNNNNNNNNNNNNNNNNNNNNNNNNNNNNNNNNNNNNNNNNNNNNNNNNNNNNNNNNNNNNNNNNNNNNNNNNNNNNNNNNNAAAAAUCUUGCUGAAGAUUUUCUUCUUCUCCAAUGCCACCUUUUACAUCUUGACGUUCUAGCUGAUCCAUCAAAAAUUCAAGGAUGCAUGCAUCGUACUACUGAUUAAUCCGCAAGACAUAGGUACACUGGUAGAUGUCAUAAGUGCCUGCAGGCAUACUUACGUUUUUCUUUAUACAAUCGCAGAUGUUCAUAGCUCACGUAUACACGUACAUACACUCACCUAUAUAAACAUACACACGCAUCCUAUAUCUAGAGGGCCUCCAAGAUAUUGAGUUAGCACAACAUUUGAGAUUGACGAAGUUAUCAGAGACGUUUCAUGGUAGAUGGAAACAUCUUCUUUCACUGAACGAACAUCGCCAUGUGACAUUUAUCGUAAGCAGUUCAAACUUAUUAAGGAAAGAGUUGAAUAAAAAUAGAAAAUUUUGAGCAUUGGUGACAAGUCUAACUGGUGGUCUGAUUCCACCACAAGUAACCUAACUAUUUUACCUAUGCUCAAAUCGCUACUUAAGUUAGCAUAAUAUAUUCUAUAGUGAAUAUGUACAAAUCAUCCAUUGUUGUAUCUUGUUGUGGCAUCUAACUGACUCACCUGUUCAUAGAAGGACACACAGAAUAAUAAUAAAAAGUGAAUUCCGGUUUUUACCUUCUAUUUUAACAUUUUUGACACUACUUACCCGAUUUAACGGGAUUUCAUCCGUUUUAACCCACUUAUCAAAAAUGUUCCCAAAAUUUACCUUGCAUAAAAUUUUGUGAGCGUUUUGACCGAUGGGUCUCAAUUGUAAAGUUCAACUGGCAUGUCACAUCAGUGGGGUUUUUCUCAUGGUUUUUCUGCACGUCGAACCACAUCGCCUGCCAUCUCCUGACCGGUCAGGCUCGAUAUGAUUCCAACAGAGCAGCUCCCCGGAUGGCCAAGUCGCCCAGGUCGGGCCACACCACACCAUCCUCCGUUGUUCACUACACGCAUCGCUCGCAUUCCAAUCACACGCAAGAUCCCGCCAUAGUUUGGCCAAAAAUUGAUGUCUCAUUUGCUAGGAGGGGAAGGACGAGGUAGGGGACGAGCGGCAGGCAAAACUUCAAGGCAUGGCUAUUGGCAAUCAUCGGAGCCAAUACGACAAUCUUCUCCCCUCCCAUGCAUGGCUCCAUCCUCUCCAGCUCAACCCAGGUGGUUAUGUUUUUAUGGCUAGAUUUUCUCUCUGUCCGAGAUGCAUAUUUGAUAGGUUUAGGCUCCUUGUUUCCGGUUCGAAGAAGUAUGGUGAUGAAAUGACCUUACUUCAUAAGUAUGGCAUGAUCCCAUUGAAUAAAUUGUAGGAGAAAUUGUUACUGAUAUAAUCAUGUAUGUUUUUCUACAACAUUGUCAUGUACGGCCCUAAGUAUGCAUGAUUAUGUGGAUGAGAUUAAAACUGGUGUGUAAAUAUACUACUUCGCUUACUUUGAUGUACGUACGUAUCUAAAUACCUAGUCAAGUAGCGAAUGUGUUGACCUGUAGUGAGUCGGUAUAUAUUUCCCAAGCUACUCUGUGCAAUCAUAUCGUGUCUGAACGAUCAGGAAAAUUUAUGGCGAUGUGGUUCGGUAUGUAGAAAAAACAUCACAAAAACCCCGUCGAUGUGGCAUAUGCCAGCUGGACCGUACAAUUGGGACCUAUCGGUNNNNNNNNNNAGGGUAAAACGGAUGGAACCCGCUUAAUGAGGUAAUUAGGGUCAAACAUAUCAAAACAGGGGUAAAAACCGGAAUUCACUCUAAUAAAAAAUUGGUCAAGUUGUGUUAACNNNNNNNNNNCAGAACAUUUAUAAAAUCUUAAACAGGGUAAAUUGUGACGACACAUUUGUUAAAUGGGAUAAAACGGAUGGAACCCGUUUAAUGAGGUAAUUAGGGUCAAACAUAUCAAAACAGGGAUAAAAACCGGAAUUCACUCUAAUAAAAAAUUGGUCAAGUUGUGUUAACUCGGCCUGUGAUAUAUGGCAACUUAUUGUGUAGUAUGUACGCAAGUAUGCAAGAUUGAAUGAAUCAUGAUACAAUCAACGUAUUUUGGCAUUCACUUGCUACAUCUUGUUUCUGUUCUUUUUUUCCUGUUUUUUAUCAUCUUGUGUUAACUCCGCCUAUGUUAUCUCAGCAUAGCCGGUCNNNNNNNNNNGUGUUCUUUUUUUCUUGUUUCUUAUCAUCUUGUGUUAACUCCGCCUAUGUUAUCUCAGCAUAGCCGGUCCCAAGACCGGGUAAAGGAGGAGGGUUGUGAUAGGCGUGGCGAGCCAACAUGAAAAACCCAGCCACUCUUAUGGAGAUGAAACCCAAAGGAAACUCGUUGGGGGCGUAACCCUCUUAGCGACGGGCCACAUCGGAACCCGGGUGUGGUGUCAAAUGGGCAAGGGCCGGGCCGUCACCCCCUUGGUGGCGCGCCGUAUCUUGAUCUGGAUACGGUGAUAAGUGAGCAAGGGUCGGGUCGCCGCAUCCUUAGUGGCGCGCUNNNNNNNNNNAGAGAUGAAACCCAAAGGAAACUCGUUGGGGCGUAACCCUCUUAGCGACGCGCCACAUUGGAACCCCGUUCUGGUGUCAAAUGGGCAAGGGCCGGGCCGUCACCCCCUUGGUGGCGUGCCGUAUCUUGAUCUGGAUAUGGUGAUAAGUGAGCAAGGGUCGGGUCGCCGCAUCCUUAGUGGCGCGCUGCACCGACGCCCCGGUGUAGUAAAAAAUGAGCAAGGGUCUUCGCAUUUGACUCGGCGAGUGCGGAGGGUAAGGAAGUUAGCCGAGCCUAGGAGGAUACGCUUAGGUAGCUGGAACGUAGGGUCCCUAACGGGUAAGUUACGGGAGCUAGUUGAUACGGCGGUGAGGAGGCGUGUUGAUGUCCUAUGUGUCCAAGAGACCAAAUGGAAGGGACAAAAGGCGAAGGAGGUGGAGGAUACCGGCUUCAAGUUGUGGUAUACGGGGACAACUUCAAACAAGAAUGGAGUAGGCAUCUUGGUCAACAAGAGCCUUAGGGAUGGAGUUGUGGACGUUAAGAGGCAAGGGGAUUGGAUGAUCCUUGUCAAGCUGGUAGUUGGGGACUUAGUCCUCAAUGUUAUCAGCGCGUAUGCCCCGCAAGUAGGCCACAAUGAGAGCACCAAGAGGGAGUUCUGGGAAGGCCUGGAGGACUUGAUUAGGAGGGUACCUAUUGGUGAGAAUCUCUUCAUAGGAGGAGACUUCAAUGGCCAUGUGGGUACAUCUAACACAGGGUUUGAAAGGGUGCAUGGGGGCUUUGGCUAUGGCAUCAGGAACAAAGAAGGAGAAGAUGUCCUGAGCUUCGCUCUAGCCUACGACAUGGUUGUAGCUAACACCCUCUUUAGGUAGAGAGAAUCCCAUCUAGUGACGUUCAGUAGUGGUCUACACUCUAGCCUGAUUGAUUUUGUCCUCUCUAGAAGAGAAGACAGACGCGCUUGCAUUGAUUGUAAAGCGAUACCUGGAGAGAGUGUUGUCCCUCAACAUAAGCUUGUGGUUGCUGACUUCCGCUUUAGGAUUCGUGUCCAACAGGAUAAGCAUGCCAAAGUUGCUAGAACGAAGUGGUGGAAGCUCAAGGGGGAGGCAUCCCAGGCUUUCAGGGAGAGGGUCAUUAAGGAGGGCCCUUGGGAGGAAGGAGGCGAUGCAAACUUGAUGUGGACGAGUAUGGCGACCUUCUUGCGGAAGGUUGUUGUAGAGGAGUUUGGGGUGACCAAGGGAAGUAGAAGGGAAGCUAAGGACACCUGGUGAUGGAACGAUGAGGUCCAGAAGGUUAUUAGGGAGAAGAAGGACUGUUUCAGAUGCCUAUAUCUGGACAGGAGUGCAGCUAACAUGGAGAAGUAUAAGGUGGCAAAGAAGGCUGCAAAGCGGGCGGUGAGUGAAGCGAGAGGUCAAGCGUAUGAGGACCUCUACCAACGUUUAAACACUAAGGAAGGUGAAAGGGACAUCUAUAAGAUGGCCAAGAUUAGGGAGAGGAAGACGAGGGAUGUCGGCGAAGUCAAAUGCAUCAAGGACGGAGAUGAUCAGCUUCUUGUGAAGGAUGAGACGAUCAAGCGUAGAUGGCGGGAGUACUUUGACAACCUUUACAAUGGAGAGGUUGACAGCUCUACCAUUGAGCUAGACGACUCCUUUGAUGAUACCAGCAUGUGCUUUGUGCGAUGUAUCCAGGAGUGUGAGGUUAAGUACGCGUUAAAAAGCAUGAAAGUAGGCAAGGCGAUGGGUCCUGAUGGUAUCCCCAUCGAGGUGUGGAGAGGCCUUGGAGACAUAGCGAUUGUAUGGCUAACUAAGCUUUUCAACCUCAUUUUUCGGUCAAACAAGAUGCCCGAAGAAUGGAGGCGGAGUAUUUUAGUACCAAUCUUUAAGAACAAUGAGGAUGUUCAAUGUUGUACUAAUUACCGCGGAAUCAAGCUGAUGAGCCAUACUACGAAGUUAUGGGAGAGAGUCAUUGAACACCGCUUAAGAAGGUUGACAAGCGUGACCAAAAACCAAUUUGGUUUCAUGCCUGGGAGGUCUACCAUGGAAGCCAUCUUCUUGGUAUGACAGCUGAUGGAGAGAUACAGGGAGCAAAAGAAGGACCUUCAUAUGGUGUUCAUUGAUUUGGAGAAGGCCUAUGAUAAGAUACCUCGGAAUGUCAUGUGGUGGGCCUUGGNNNNNNNNNNAUCGAUCAACUGGCUAGCCAACUAGAGGCAUGCUAGGGACGGUGUUUUGUCUAUGUAUCCACACAUGUAAAUGAGUCUUCAUUCAAUACAAUUAUAGCAUGGAUAAUAAACUAUUAUCUUGAUACAGGAAUUAUAAUAAUAACUAUACAUUUAUUAUUGCCUCUAGGGCAUAAUUCCAACAAUAUGGUGUUCAUUGAUUUGUAGAAGGCCUAUGAUAAGAUACCUCGGAAUGUCAUGUGGUGGGCCUUGGAGAAACACAAAGUCCCAAUAAAGUACAUUAUCCUCAUCAAGGAUAUGUAUGAUAAUGUUGUGACAAGUGUUCGAACAAGUGAUGGCGACACCGAUGACUUUCCGAUUAGAAUAGGGCUACACCAAGGGUCAGCUUUGAGCCCUUNNNNNNNNNNCCCUCAUCAAGGAUAUGUAUGAUGAUGUUGUGACAAGUGUUCGAACAAGUGAUGGCGACACUGAUUACUUUCCGAUUAGAAUAGGGCUACACCAAGGGUCAGCUUUGAGCCCUUAUCUUUCUGAUUUGGUGAUGGAUGAGGUCACAAGGGAUAUACAAGGAGAUAUCCCAUGGUGUAUGCUCUUUGCGGAUGAUGUGGUGCUAGUCGAUGAUAGCCGAAUGGGGGUUAAUAGAAAGUUAGAGUAUGGAGGCAGACUCUAGAAUCGAAAGGUUUUAGGCUUAGUAGAACUAAAACCGAAUACAUGAGGUGCAGUUUUAGUGCUACUAGGCACGAGGAUGGAGAGGUUAGCCUUGGUGGGCAGGUGGUACCGGAGAGAGACGUGUUUCAAUAUUUGGGGUCCAUGUUGCAGAAGGAUGGCGAUAUCGAUGAAGACGUGGACCACCGAAUCAAGGCUGGGUGGAUGAAGUGGCGCCAAGCUUCUAGCGUAGUCUGUGACAAGAGAGUGCCACAAAAACUAAAAGGCAGGUUUUAUAGGACAGCUAUCCGACCUGCGAUGUUGUAUGGCGCGGAGUGUUGGCCAACCAAGAGACGACAUAUCCAACAGUUAGGUGUAGCAGAGAUGCGCAUGUUGAGAUGGAUAUGUGGCCACACAAGGAAGGAUCGGGUACGGAAUGACGAUAUACGAGAGAGACUUGGGGUAGCACCGAUUGAAGAGAAGCUGGUCCAGCAUCGUCUCAGAUGGUUUGGACAUAUUNNNNNNNNNNNNNNNNNNNNNNNNNNNNNNNNNNNNNNNNNNNNNNNNNNNNNNNNNNNNNNNNNNNNNNNNNNNNNNNNNNNNNNNNNNNNNNNNNNNNUCUUGUUUUUUAUCAUUGUGGCGUUCGGAAGGAUGGUGACGCUUCUUUUUAGGCUCCGAUUCUCAUUAAGUUUUUGUCCGUAUGGAUAUAGUUGACAGAGCGCCGACGCAGAAUCAUGUUCUCUUCUUCUCGCGAUGAGGUUAGGGUUUCUCGUCAUAUGACGAUUUUGUGCAUGUUGCUUCAGAUCUAUGAAAUGGUUCAAUAGCGACUACUAUGGUACCAGGGUGUGGGUCCUUACGUGCAUGUGCGGGAAGAUAUCUCGGUUGUCAUCGUCAAUGCAUCGGCGACACGUUCUGUCAGUAAUAGUGGUUAUUUGGUGGUUUCGGAAUCUCAUUCUAAUUUUUAUUAUUUUUGAGAUGCUUUGUAUUUUCCAUGAACUUUUAUAAAAGAUCUGAUCAUUUUCUUAAAAAAUGAAUGAAAAAUAUUUUGCCCUGCAUGGUAGCAUGUGGUAUUGGGUCUUUUUUGAUACAUGGUUGCAUACUGAGGUAGAUCUUAUCCUGUCCAUUAUAUGGUGAUCUGGCAUAUGCUUGUAUAUUGAGAUAAAUAAGUUAGUGGUGAUCAAUUUCUUAGAUAUAUGUAGAAUGGGUUACAACUAUAGUAACACAUUUGGAUGGAUUUUUUAAGCUUAAGCUACAAUAAUGCACNNNNNNNNNNUGUGAUCACUGUCUUAGAUAUAUGUAGAAUGGGUUACAACUACAGUAACACAUUUGGAUGGAUUUUUUAAGCUUAAGCUACAACAAUGCACCAUCAAAAAGGAAAAUUGAUGAUGGUUAUAUAAAAUACUAAGGUGAUCCGCGAAUUAAACUCAAAAUAUAUUUAGAUGCUAACAAACAUGCAUAUGCGUGGUGCGAGUAAGUUCUACUUUGAACCCGCAGGCAAUAAUAAUUAGUGUGCUGCACUAAAUUCUACUUGAGAGGCUGGGCCAAGAAUCAAAGUGGCAUAUACAAAGUGGAAAAAGAGAGGCCGACGCAGCUCACUAAUGAGUUAGAUGUGAAACCAAAGUCUACACUUCUUAAUAUGUCCGAUAGAAAUAUUAAGAUUGAGGCUGUGAAGAAGGUGCAAACUCUUCUCAGAGAGAGGAGAUGAAAUGGGCCAUUUGAGCAAAGGUUGCGAAGGUGCACCCGAAGAGAAUUUUGUUUUUCUGGAUUAGAGCACAACAAGUGACAUUCCUCAACCCAGUUCAGAUGAGAACGAGGUUUUGCCAGCCCCAUUUAGGGAUGAAGAGAUGUUUGACACAAUAUCACAAAUGAAGCCAAAUAAGGCACCGGGACCAGAUGGGUUUCCGAUGGAAUUUUAUAAAAAGUGUUGGCAUAUUAUUAAAGAUGAUAUUUUGCAUAUGUUCCAUGAUUUGUUUAAUGGGCAUUUGCAGCUAUUCCACCUUAACUUUGGAAUAAUAAUGGUGUUUCUAAAGAAGGUGNNNNNNNNNNNNNNNNNNNNNNNNNNNNNNNNNNNNNNNNNNNNNNNNNNNNNNNNNNNNNNNNNNNNNNNNNNNNNNNNNNNNNNNNNNNNNNNNNNNNUCAGUUAAACUCAAAAUAUAUUUAGAUGCUAACAAACAUGCAUAUGUGUGGUGCGAGUAAGUUCUACUUUGAAUCCGCAGGCAAUAAUAAUUAGUGUAGUGCACGUAAAUUCUACUUGAAAGGCUGGGCCAAGAAUCAAAGUGGCAUAUACAAAGUGGAAAAAGAGAGGCCGACGCAGCUCACUAAUGAGUUAGAUGUGAAAGCAGAGUCUACACUUCUUAAUAUGUCUGAUAGAAAUAUUAAGAUUGAGGCUGAGAAGAAGGUGCAAACUCUUCUGAGAGAGAGGAGAUGAAAUGGGCCCUUCGAGCAAAGGUGGCGAAGGUGGACCAUGGAGAUGAUAAAACACAAUUCUUUCACAUGAUUGGGAAUGGCAAACAUAGGAAGAAGAAAAUAAUUCAACUUGAACACGAUGAGGAUAAAAUUGUAGGAAAUGAGAACCUAAAAUUGUACAUCUCCGAGUAUUAUAAGAAACUUUUUGGUGCAUCCGAAGAGAAUUUUGUUUUUCUGGAUGAGAGCACAACAAGUGACAUUCCUCAACCCAGUUCAGAUGAGAAUGAGGUUUUGUCAGCCCUAUCUUUAGCCGAUUUGGAUGGUAAACUAAUAAUUGGCUAGGUGUAUAGGCAUCGUAGAUUACUUAUGGUUUCGUCGAAUGUGACAUCAUUUAUUUUCUAUACUUUGUGUUUUGCUCAUAUUGUGAGCUAAUUGUUGCUGCAUUACUUUGCUCUUGAACUUAUUUAGUAAUAAUAUGGUUGCAUGCAUCGAUUGAUGCAGAGUUUGAAGGCUACGUGCCUCCAUUAAAAAAAGUAAAUUCUACUUUGAACAUGCGGACAAUGAUAGUUAUGAUAUGGUGACCCUUCGGACAAGAUUUUGGUAUUUGCGAAUGCUGAGGUGUAUUCCGUCCGGCACCUAGCAAGGCUGCAGGAACCACACCUUAUUUGUGAAGCAUAGGUUUUACCUAGGUCCGGAUCCUUGCAUGAUGACUAACAACACUAACCAUGUUUGUCUGGAAUUACAUUCUCAAGGAGUUACAGAGAUCAAGAACAUGAUGUGCUCGUCAGGUUCGUGGUGAACUCGACGAAUAGGGGGUGGACUCUAGAUCAUGUCCCAUCGGCUAGGCUAAUCUAGCAGUCUUAAGACUUCAGGUGCUUUCAAAUCAAAUGGAAGAUGUCUUUGCUUCCAUGGCCAUUCGCAUAUUUACCAAUAUCUUGGUGGUUAGGCUUUGCCGACUUCCUCAUGGUCUCAUUGUUCUUCUUCCCUAUGGAUUCUUGAUAGCCUUGAGGGCCUUCUGGUAAGAAAUUACCAGGGGUGGCGCAUCCAUGGAAGUCAGUACUCUGGACAAUCCCCCCCCCCCCCNNNNNNNNNNNNNNNNNNNNNNNNNNNNNNNNNNNNNNNNNNNNNNNNNNNNNNNNNNNNNNNNNNNNNNNNNNNNNNNNNNNNNNNNNNNNNNNNNNNNNNNNNNNNNNNNNNNNNNNNNNNNGAACAUUACGGUAAGUAUGGAAAUUCACUUCCCCUCGACACCAUUUUAUUUGGACUAUAUUUUAGAUUCACAAAUUGGCGUUCAACCAGGUUUAAUGGUUCANNNNNNNNNNNNNNNNNNNNNNNNNNNNNNNNNNNNNNNNNNNNNNNNNNNNNNNNNNNNNNNNNNNNNNNNNNNNNNNNNNNNNNNNNNNNNNNNNNNNGAGACAAGUCUGACUCCUCGUUGCUCUACUUCGGAGUCUGCCGCAAUCCUUGUUUUGAUCCUAAGUGGCACUAUAUAUGUCUGUCACCGGUUGUUCAAGACGGUGACUUUUCGGUGUGGAUCGAGUCCUGUCAUUGAUCUGCAUCUUUCUCUCACGCACUAAGGGUGGCUGGUGCGUCGACAAGAGACACUCUGCGGAAGUUAUUUGGUCUUCGGUGUUGUUCGGCGUCAGUCAAGACGCGGUGCUUUGUGUCGGUUCAGGAUAAGCUCUUUUNNNNNNNNNNAGUGUGGAUUGAGUCCUGUCAUUGAUCUGCAUCUUUCUCUCACGCGCUAAGGGUGGCUGGUGCGUCGACAAGAGACACUCUGGGGAAGUUAUUUGGUCUUCGGUGUUGUUCGACGUCAGUCAAGACGCGGUGCUUUGUGUCGGUUCAGGAUAAGCUCUUUUGCAUUGUAGCUCGGUGGACGGUGCGGUUUAUCUUUAGGUUUGUCCUUGUGAUGUUCGUGCUAUGCAUCAAGUGAUAGCUUUUUUCAUUGAAAUUAUGUCUUUACCAGAGUACAAAAGGUAUCNNNNNNNNNNNNNNNNNNNNNNNNNNNNNNNNNNNNNNNNNNNNNNNNNNNNNNNNNNNNNNNNNNNNNNNNNNNNNNNNNNNNNNNNNNNNNNNNNNNNAGUCCUAGUUUCAAUACUGCUUGAACGCCGUGGUGCAAGAUAGAGCCUAGAAGAUUUAGUUGAAAAAAAUAUUGAGUAAAACAAAAUAGUUACACAUUAUACAGAUAUUACUUUCGGCUAGUAUAUAUAUGUUGUUGCGUGUUAAAUUGUAUUUUAUCAACUUCAAAUAAAAUUUAAAAAUAUAUAUGUGUUUAUUAUCACACCCAAAUGCCACCUGCAUUUUUUUAAUGGGAAAGCUUAAGCGUGUUGACAUGUGCAAAAAAACAAGUCAAAAGACAAAUGAUACAGUUAAUUUAAUUUUUCACGCUGACAAAUAAAUUCAGAAUUCUCGUAAUUCAAUUUUAGGUUACUAUUCACCAAAGAGUAUAUCUAUACCUAGUGAUAAAGCAAGGUGUGUUUCUUUAAUUCUUUCAUAUGUUCAUCCAUAUUAUAUUUUCAGAUUUUUUCCUAUCCGACGUUAUAUUUUCAUAUCCAUAUUAUAUUUUCAUAUUGUUGUGCUGCAAGUUCGAAGUUCAUUUGUUGUGCUAUAUGGGAAAAACAAAAAAAAAAGUACUUGCACGAAUCGCGAUGUGGAAUUGGAUGGCUAGAUAGGGGGAUGCCUAGAAGCCUAAGCUCCACAAUAUAUUUUCGUGGUAAUUUGAUGGCACCAAUGCUCCAACGCAAAUUUUAUACAUCAAGGUUAGCUUCUACAAUCUAUGCUGUUAUAGUAGAUGUUUCAGAGAAGCAGUUCCCUAUAAAUUAUUGGUGGUUAAAUUUUUUUAGACAUCAAGAAGCAUUCAUAAUUUUGGCAGCAACAAUUAUAAGGUGCGCCAUACAAGCAUUACUAGUAUAAUAUCCAUGCAUUGCCACGGGCUAUGAAUAUAUUUUUAUCAGUUGCAAACAUAGUCACAAUACAUGUAAAAAUUUACAUGCAUAGAAAUUAUAGCAUGUAACGAUGAGAAGUAAUUAAAAUCCACUUCAGUAAUCCAAUUAAUUAUCUUUUACAAAUAAAGAUCUACUUGAUGUGUUUAACAUAGUUUUGUACAAUGUGAGGAAUGUUGUCUUCAACUUCAUUGCAUGGCACAAUGUGAGCCGCAUCCUUAUUUUGAUGAGUUUUAAAUUGUGUAUAUAUAUAUUUUCUAGAAAUGACUUGUUAUGCUAUGUGACAUUGAUGUCAACGUAUAGAAGCUCCUCCUUUUUACUUUUUNNNNNNNNNNNNNNNNNNNNNNNNNNNNNNNNNNNNNNNNNNNNNNNNNNNNNNNNNNNNNNNNNNNNNNNNNNNNNNNNNNNNNNNNNNNNNNNNNNNNNNNNNNNNNNNNNNNNNNNNNNNNNNNNNNNNNNNNNACAGCUGCCUUCUACUCUUCCCGCACAACCAACCAGACACCAAUUGUCACCGCAUCUCAUCUCCCCGCCAGAGAGUAUCCACCGCCAUCUCCCCCAGACACCUCCCCUCCAUGCCAUGGCGAAGCCCGCCCACUCCUCUCCCCAUCAUCUGCCCUCUCAUCCAUGGCUCCGCCGCCUCGACGCUGAGCUAGCCCACCGGUCUAGCAUCGUGGAUAGUUGGGUCCUCCCUGGAGGUGCAAAAGGGAUCGCAACCGUCUGUUAGUGCUAGCCAUGUAGCUGACCCAUUCGUAUGUGAGUUGCACAACCUCAUGUGGCACUGCGAGGAGGGAUACACCUUCAUCAUCGAGGUUGCUCACCCCAGGCCGAUUUCCGGUGCCAUGGAGUGCACGUUGUCAUGCUAGGGCAGCCGCCAAGGAGAUGCGACCUUCUAAUCAUUUUCCUUGCCCAAACCAUUCAAAUCCGAUGUAGCUGCCAGCAUGUCUAUCGUUCCUAUCGAUUAGCUUUAUGGAUUACAUGAGAAGACUUUUACGUGUGCGCGCGUCGCAACACGUGAUAGGCUUGCAAGCGCAAUCCUAAUCCCCCUAAUUUUAGUUGUGAAGCUGAAUAUCUAAUCUCAUUAAUCCAUCUCCCUUGAUUUUCAGAGCAUGGAUUUCUAUGCAUCUCUCCAAUCUCUUGUCCCAGAUUUUUAGGGAAAGUUUANNNNNNNNNNGGCUGAAUAUCUAAUCUCAUUAAUCCAUCUCCCUUGAUUUUCAGAGCGUGGAUGUCUAUGCAUCUCUCCAAUCUCUUGUCCCAGAUUUUUAGGGAAAGUUUAAUAGCAACCUGAUGAGAGACGACCUCUAGUUCAUGCACAUGCCAUUUCCUCAUACUAUCUGAAGGGAGUAUCAAAAUCAUAAUUGCGUAGCUUUUAGUUUUUUGCUAAAAGUUUAGGCGCAUCAUUUUUUUUGCGCCGGGCAUGAAGGAAAAACAUUUAUCUAGACAUUUGAAAGAUGCAGCAGUGAGACUCUCAUAACAACCAGUUCCGAUUGAACAUACAACCCUUGAACAGGGUGGAGCCCCGCCAUAGGUCCACUAUAUUGGUUACAAAUUUACAAUUCUCUAACAACUUUGUGCCAUUUUUGGACUAUUUGUUAAAACUAAGAUGAUAUUUAAGUUAAAUUAUAUUAACUGACACCCCACUACUAUGAUCGUAGGCUAGUCAUUUCCAUGGGACAUGCAAACUAGUUAUACUAAAAAAUGCAAACUAGUUAUACUAUAUUGGUUACAAAUUUACAAUUCUCUAACAACUUUGUGCCAUUUUUGGACUAUUUGUUAAAACUAAGAUGAUAUUUAAGUUAAAUUAUAUUAACUGACACCCCACUGCUAUGAUCGUAGGCUAGUCAUUUCCAUCGGACAUGCAAACUAUUUAUACUAAAAAAUGCAAACUAGUUAUACUAUAUUGGUUACAAGUUUACAAUUCUCUAACAACUUUGUGCCAUUUUUGGACUAUUUGUUAAANNNNNNNNNNNNNNNNNNNNNNNNNNNNNNNNNNNNNNNNNNNNNNNNNNNNNNNNNNNNNNNNNNNNNNNNNNNNNNNNNNNNNNNNNNNNNNNNNNNGGGACAUGCAAGUUGAUCGUCCUGUCAUGCAAUUAGUCUAUGAAGUCUACGCGGUGCUAGUAUUCUGAUAUACAUUGCGGGUCUGGUUAUUCUAUUUUCUUGUAGUGUAGUAUGACCAGUCAAGUGUUCACAUGUAUAUUUAAUUUUCCAUGUUGGCAGGGUUGCGUGUUAGAAAAAGGCAUAUCUAUAUAUGCACGUCAUUACGGCAGGGUUGCCUAGCUAGCUGUACGUGUGAUGGAUGAACUAGGAUAUACUAAUGUGGAUUCAUCCAGAACUUGCUAUCUCAAGCUGUCUGAAUUUCACAUAUUGUUGGUGUUUCACUAAUCACAUAAAGAUACUACUUGUAAAUUAGUACUUCCUCGGUUCCUGAAUAUAAGUUUUUUUUCUUCAAAUAUUCUACUAAGAACUACAUGCCAAUAAAAAUAAAUGAAUCUAUAAUUUAAAUUAUGUCUAUAUACAUCCGUAUAUAGUUCGUAGUAAAAUAUCUAGNNNNNNNNNNAAAUAUUCUACUAUGAACUACAUACCAAUAAAAAUAAAUGAAUCUACAAUUCAAAUUAUGUCUAUAUACAUCCGUAUAUAGUUCGUAGUAAAAUAUCUAGAAACACUUAUAUUUAGAAAUGGAGGGAGUAUAAUACAUUUAUUCUAGAUCACUAGUCUAUGUCUAUACUUAUUAAUAAAAGGAUAAAUGUCUCUACCCGUCCGUCGUACCUUUUGGAAACAAAUAAACCCAAUUGUUUCUUGAAAUCAACGCACGGUCCUGAUUUUAAGUGAAUCUUAAAUUUUUUUUGUAUUUUACUAAAAACUUCCUAACCUUUCGGUUAAACGACCUACUGUCCUGUUUUAAGUGAGUCCNNNNNNNNNNUCACGGUCCUGAUUUUAAGUGAAUCUUAAAAAUAUUUUGUAUUUUACUAAAAACAUCCUAACCUUUCGGUUAAACGACCUACUGUCCUGUUUUAAGUGAGUCCAGAAAAUCUUCUAUGUUUUCUAGAAACCCCUUGAUAUUUCGUUCCAUAAACCUAAAGUCAAUAGUCCGAUUAAAGAACUAUGUAGACAUGUCCCGAGGUACUCCUCGGUCAAUAUCCAAUAGCGGUACCUGGAUGCCCAUAUUGGAUCCUACAUAUUCUCCGAAGAUCUUAUCGGUUGAACCUCAGUGUCAAGGAUUCAUAUAAUCCCGUAUGUCAUUCUCUUUGUCCUUCGGUAUGUUACUUGCCCGAGAUUCGAUCGUCGGUAGCCGCAUACCUAUUUCAUUCUCGUUACCGGCAAGUCUCUUUACUCGUUCCGUAAUACAAGAUCCCGUGACUUACACUUAGUCACAUUACUUGCAAGGCUUGUGUGUGAUGUUGUAUUAUCAAGUGGGCCUCGAGAUACCUCUCCGUCACACGGAGUGACAAAUCCCAGUCUUGAUCCAUACUAACUCAACAGACACCUUCGGAGAUACCUGUAGAACACCUUAUAGUCACCCAGUUACGUUGUGACGUUUGAUGCGCACAAGGUAUUCCUUCGGUGCUAGUGAGUUAUAUGAUCUCAUGGUCAUAGAAACAAGUACUUGACACACAGAAAACAAUAGCAAUAAAAUGACACGAUCAAUAUGCUACGUAUAUAAUUUGGGUCUUGUCCAUCACAUGAUUCUCCUAAUGAUGUGAUCCCGUUAUCAAGUGACAACACUUGCCUAUGGUCAGGAAACCUUGACCAUCUUUGAUCAACGAACUAGUCAACUAGAGGCUCACUAGGAACAGUGUGUUGUCUAUGUAUCCUCACAUGUAUUUGAGUUUCCAAUCAAUACAAUUCUAUCAUGGAUAAUAAAAGAUUAUUAUGAACAAGGAAAUAUAAUAAACUAAUUUAUUAUUGUCUCUAGGGUAUAUUUCCAACAAUAUAUACCAACUCACUACGAGGUCAACAUAUUCGCUACUUGACUAGGUAUUUAGAUAUAUACGUACAUCAAAGUAAGUGAAGUAGUAUAUUUACACACCAGUUUUAAUCUGAUCCACAUAAUCAUGCAUACUUAGGGUCAUACAUGACAAUGCUGUAGAAAAACAUACAUGAUUACAUCAGUAACAAUUUCUCCUACAAUUUGUUCAAUGGGAUCAUGCCAUCCUUAUGAAGUAAGGUCAUUUCAUCACCAUACUUCUUUGAACCGGAAACAAGGAGCCUAAACCUAUCAAAUAUGCAUCUCGGACUGAGAGAAAAUCCAGCCAUAAAAACAUAACCACCUGGGUUGAGCAGGAGAGGAUGGAGCCAUGCAUGGGAGGGGAGAAGAUUGUCGUAUUAGCUCCGAUUUUGCCAAUAGCCAUGCCUUGAAGUUUUGCCUGCCGCUCGUCCCCUACCUCGUCCUUCCCCUCCUAACAAAUGAGGCCCUGACCGGUCAGGAGAAGGCAGACGAUGUGGUUCGACGUGCAGAAAAACCAUGAGAAAAGCCCCACUGAUGUGACAUGCCAGUUGGACUUUACAAUUGAGACCCAUCGGUCAAAACGCUCACAAAAUUUUAAGCAAGGUAAAUUAUGGCAACAUUUUUGCUAAAUGGAUUAAAACAGAUGAAAUCGCGUUAAAUCGGGUAACUAGUGUCAAAAAUAUUAAAAUAGAAGGUAAAAACCGGAAUUCACUCUUUUUAUUAUUAUGUGUGUCCUUCUAUGAACAUGUGAGUCAGUUAGAUGCCACAACAAGAUACAACAAUGGAUGAUUUGUACAUAUUCACUAUAGAAUACAUUAUGCUAACUUAAGUAGCGAAUUGAGCAUAGGUAAAAUAGUUAGCUUACUUGUGGUGGAAUCAGACCACCAGUUAGACUUGACACCAAUGCUCAAAAUUUUCUAUAUUUAUUCAACUCUCUCCUUAAUAAGUUUGAACUGCUUACCACAAAUGUCACAUGGCGAUGUUCGUUCAGUUAAAGAAGAUGUUUCCAUCUAUCAUUAAACGUCUCUGAUGACUUCGUCAAUCUCAAAUGUUGUGCUAACUCAAUAUCUCGGAGGCCCUAGUAGAUAUAGGAUGCGUGUGUAUGUUCAUAUAGGUGAGUGUAUGUAUAUGUACGUGAGCGCAUCUGCCAUUGUAUAUAUAAAAAAAAACUAUGCGUGCAUGCACUUAUGACAUCUACGAGUGUACGUCUUGCCUUGCGGGAUAAUCAGUAGUACGAUGCAUGCAUCCUUUAAUUUUUUAUGGAUCAGCUAGAACGUCAAGAUGUAAAAGGUGACAUUGAAGAAGAAGAAAAUCUUCAGCAAGAUUUUUAGUUUUAUCAAGGAUCAUCNNNNNNNNNNNNNNNNNNNNNNNNNNNNNNNNNNNNNNNNNNNNNNNNNNNNNNNNNNNNNNNNNNNNNNNNNNNNNNNNNNNNNNNNNNNNNNNNNNNNNNNNNNNNNNNNNNNNNNNNNNNNNNNNNNNNNNNNNNNNNNNNNNNNNNNNNNNNNNNNAGCUGGCAUAUCACUAGUCGACUUAACCCAACUUGAACAACCUUUCUAUUCCAGGUACGUGUACAAGUAUGUAUAUCCUUUUACAAUAUGCAAAUCAUGCAUUUAGAUACCAUAACGUGAUACAAUGACAUUGAUCAAUCAUAAGCUUAUAAAGCAUGCAUGCAUGAGCGAGGGAGCCCAUGCAAACGCCUGACAUAUGAACUGUAACAGUGCGCGCGUAUGACAUGCAAUAGCUACGAGUAAAUCGAUGGAUAGAUGGAUCACAUGGGGCAGGUGAAGUUGGCGGGGCACUUCUUGCCGCACUGGUUGAGUNNNNNNNNNNGGUUCGAUUUGAAAUUGUCCAUUAAGAUGAAACCAAUAUAGGAUUUAAUCUUCCCAGCCACACGAUGCGGAUGAUGCAAAUUCUCACCAUUUCUUAUAUUAUUUCUUUUAUCCGAGAUGUGCCAUAUAGCCACAGUAAAGUACAAUGCGUGAAGAUCUGGUGCAACAUUUAUCCAUUCUAGCAAUCAUUGAUGAAUAUUGAUAAACCUUUUUAGAUUUAGCACGAUAUGAAAAGACCUUUCAUAGUUUGCCCAAAAAUUCUUUGACAUAAUGGGAAAAGAAGAAACAAUGUUCCACAGUCUCAACUCUAUUACAGAUAAAACACUCAUACCUCGUAGGAAAUGUUCCACAGUUUCAUCAAUGUUCCUCACCAGUAGGUAAAAAAUUACGAACCAUUCUCCAUAAGAUGAUCUUCAUUCUAUUUGGACUUUGUAUUUCGAGUUUUUGCUCUAUAUUUUUCCUGUUUCCUCCAUGUUCGAGGCUGAUCCUCUUCCAUCAGAGCUCUAGUACAUCCAGAACGAUAAGGAUUUUGCAAGGUUAUACCGAGACAAUAUAGUGUAGGUGCCUCCAUUCGUGUAUGGCCAUGAUGCGAAAUCUCAGCACCCUUAUGAACUUAGAGGGAUCUUUAGGAUCUUUACAACCAGGUUUUUUGGAAACAUUUCACUAACAACCACACUGUUUCAUGAUUUACCAUCAGUUAAAAACAAAUGGUUCGCAGUCUUAUCCUCCUCCACCGGGAAAUUUGUACAAAGUAUGCCACGAAAUGAGUGUGGGAUCCAAUUAUCUUAAAUCAAAGAUAUUUGCUUUCCGUCUCCUAAUUGCAAGAAUAAGCCGUUUUGAAGGAGUUUCUUACCAAAUAAUAUGCUGCGCCAUGUGUGGGAAGCUGAUCUUGGGCAUCCUGAUCUCCAAAAAUCUCCAUGCGGGAAAUACCUUCCUUCUAAUACCUUGAAGCAUAAUGAAUUGGGGUUCACUAAGAGCCUACAGCACUGCUUUGCAAGCAUGGCUUGAUUAAAAAUCACCAAGUCCCUGAAUCCCAUUCCUCCAAGAUACUUGGGCGAGGAUAGCCAAUUAGAGGACCUCCAAUGAAUUUUUUCCUCCCAUCUUCCAUUCCCCACCAUACUGGAGAUAGGUCUAUUCAUGUUCUCACAUAUUGAUAUUGGAAUUUGGAAGCAGCACAUUACAUAUGUCCGGAUGGCUUGAGCCACCGACUUUAGAAGUACUUCUCUACCUUCUCUGGAUAACAGUCUUAUCAUUCCACCCAUUUAAUAUCCUCCAUAGCCUCCGAGUGAGGAAAUUAAAAUUGCUUGUUGUAGAGCAUCCCACCCAAGAAGGCAUGCCAAGGUAAGUGGCUUGUAGAGACUCAUCUCGGACUCCUACCAUGUUCUUUACUCGUUCCUUCACCCGAUUGUCACAAUGAUGUCCAAAGAAGAUAUAUGACUUGUGCAAGUUGAUUUUCUGACUAGAGCCUUUGUAGUACGUCUCAAGAGCGAUUUUAAGUAUGUUUGUGCUUCUAUUGUCGCCCUUCACAAAAAAUAUGCUAUCAUCAUCAAAUAAGAGGUGGUAAAUAGGAUNNNNNNNNNNUUGAUGUCCAAAGAAGAUAUAUGACUUGUGCAAGUUGAUUUUCUGACCAGAGCCUUUGUAGUAGGUCUCAAGAGCAAUUUUAAGUAUGUUUGUGCUUCUAUUGUCUCCCGUCACAAAAAAUAUGCUAUCAUCAUCAAAUAAGAGGUGGUAAAUAGGAUGGCCUGCUUUUCUGUUCUUGAUUUCUCUAAUGUCCCUUAUUGCUUCUUUUAACUGUAGAAGACAAGAUAAACCUUCAGGACAUAAUAAAAAUAAGUAUGGGCUGAUGGGAUCACCCUGACAUAUGCCUCUAGUAGGUAUGAAAGGGCCAGUUAAGUUCCCAUUUACUUUGACUGCAUAUUGUAUAGAGGUCACACACCUCAUCACCGAUUCUAACUAGUUUCAAAUAAAGCCAAAUUUAACAAGAACCCCUUUCAAAUAAGGCCAUUCAACUCUAUCAUACACUAGUAGAAAAGAGGGCUUUGGUCCACUUGAUAAAAUCCCAUUAGUCUUGGGCCGACCCAUGUGGGAGGCGGGACACCAAUGUUUUUUUUUUAUAUAUUUCCUUUUUUCUUUUCUGUAUUUGUAUUUUCUAUUUUAAAAUAAUUCAGGAUUACAAAAUGUUUCCAUUUUCAGGAAAUAGAGAAAUAAAAAUAUUUUGAGAAAUCAUAAAUAUUCGUGAAUUCGUGAAAUGUGCAUGUUUUUGAAAAACAUUUGGGAAGUCAUAAAAUUUUCAAAUUUAAAAGAAUUCAUGAUUUUCAAACAAAUCUUUGCAUAUUCAAAGAUCUUUCAUGNNNNNNNNNNGAAAUCCCAUUAGUCUUGGGCCGACCCAUGUGGGAGGCGGGACACCACUGUUUUUUUUAUAUAUUUUUCCUUUUUUUCUUUUCUGUAUUUGUAUUUUCUAUUUUAAAAUAAUUCAAGAUUAUAAAUUUUUUCCAUUUUCAGGAAAUAGAGAAAUAAAAAUAUAUUUGAGAAAUCAUAAAUAUUCGUGAAUUCAUGAAAUGUGCAUGUUUUUUAAAAACAUUUGGGAAGUCAUAAAAUUUUCAAAUUUAAAAUAAUUCAUGAUUUUCAAACAAAUCUUUGCAUAUUCAAAGAUCUUUCAUGAUUUUGAAAAAAAGUCCGGGAAAGAAAUAAAGUGUGUGGGUUCAAAAACAAUUAUUAAAGAUGGAAGAAGUUCAUGAAUUAAAACAAUAUUCACGAUUCUGUAAAAAAUGUCCAUAAAAAAUGUAUUUCAGUUUAAAUUGUCCCUGAAUUUCGAAGUUCAUCNNNNNNNNNNAAAAAGUGUGUGGGUUCAAAAACAAUUCUUAAAGAUGGAAGAAGUUCAUGAAUUAAAACAAUAUUCAUGAUUCUGUAAAAAAUGUCCGUAAAAAAUGUAUUUCAGUUUAAAUUGUCCCUGAAUUUCGAAGUUCAUCAAUUGAAAAGAGGUUUGCUGAAUGAAAGUAUGUUCAUGGUUUUCAAAAACAAAUUUAUUAAAAAAAUUGUGAUCUUCAAAAAGUUUUUCCAAAAUAUAAAAAUAUUUAUCAAUUCAAAACAAUUGGUUUAACUUUAAAAAAAUGUUCAUGAUUUCAAAUAAUGUCCGAGAAUAUGCAAAAAAUACGAAUAUAAAAAAUGUACACGUUUCAAAACAUGUCCAUAAAUUGAAAAAAUGUUUAUGAUUUCCAAAUGUGUUCACAAUUUUGAUAUUUUUUCAAUAUUUGUUUUUUUUGAAAAAGACAGGAAAAUUGAAAUUGGAAAUAAUGAAAAAUAUAAUAAAANNNNNNNNNNUCACGUUUCAAAACAUGUCCAUAAAUUGAAAAAAUAUUCAUGAUUUCGAAAUGUGUUCACAAUUUUGAUUUUUUUUUCAAUAUUUGUUUUUUUAAAAAGACAGGAAAAUUGAAAUUGGAAAUAAUGAAAAAUAUAAUAAAAGGCAAACAAGAAAAAAAAUGAGAAAUGAAAAAUUAAAAUGAAAAUGACAUAAUAAAAGAAAAUCAAAAAUAGAAAAGAAAGUGGAAAAGGAGAAAUACGAAAAUGAGAAAGAUAUAGAAAAAUAAAAAGAAGCAACAAAGAAGAAGAAAAUAAAAACUGACUCAACGAAGGUUCUAGAACUUCCGCCAACUGAAAAGAAAAAAAACUAGACUAGGAUGGUCCAAACGCGGGACAAUCUCGGGAGGGGGCUAUGCACCAGCUUGCUAUAGAGCGACCUACAUGCCAAAUNNNNNNNNNNUACUUCCGCCAACUGAAAGGAAAAAAAAUAGACUAGGAUGGUCCAAACGCGGGACAAUCUCAGGAGGGGGCUAUGCACCAGCUUGCUAUAGAGCGACCUACAUGCCAAAUUGGAACAAGAAAGCAAGACAUAGUCAUGCCACAUACGCUUGGUUGUCUCAUGGCAAUCGACAGGUAGCCCCUUGACUAUGUGCCAAGCCACACAUGUAGGUUGUAUCACUAAAGGCUUAAUUAUUCAGCCCGGCGUCAUCGCGCACUUGAGUAUUUCUUUCCUGUGUGGUCUAGAUGGGCUUGAUUUGUGGUCGUGGAUGACACCGUGAAGACCUCUUAUGGCAAGGCCAAGUGCACCGUACUCAUCCAGGCCUCGUAUGAAUAACCUCUUUUUCCUCUUAAUUCUCUUGUUUUAAUACUUCUCCUAGUUUCUAAUUUCUUCUUGUUUCGAAAUUUCAGACAAGCAUGGCAGGUUUGGGCUUGAUCUGAAGAUUUUCUUCCUCGGACCGUAACAGAAUUUGGUUUGUUCAAGAAGCUCAAGUAAGUCUUCUUUUUACCAGCAAAAGAAAGAAGCUCAUGUAAGUAUUUUUCUUAAGAUCUUUUAACCCAAGAAAGGAUAUGUGUCCUUGUUGCUCAAUCGUUUUUCCGAUCUCCGACUAAGACAUCCUGAUAAGAACGGCGCCCAAAUAUUUCACAUGAACAUGGUUCCUAUAUACAAGCUAUACAUUAUGUUUCAAAAGUAUGACAUAUAUAAAUAUGCCAAGUUCUGUUGCUUUCAUGCUUAGCACNNNNNNNNNNGAUCCUGACAAGAACGGGGCCCAAAUGUUUCACAUGACCAUGGUUCCUAUAUACAAGCUAUACAUUAUGUUUCAAAAAUAUGACAUAUAUAAAUAUGCCAAGUUCUGUUGCUUUCAUGCUUAGCACCUUUGGUUAACACCCCCAGGAUAGCAGGUAUACAUUUUUAACCAGGGUAGUUAUAAUUAAUCUUUUUUGCUUCCGAGCACCCAUUGUAUAUAGAGAGAUUUACACUAGGAUGUCAAUACCAUCUGUAUAUUUUGUUGUUGUUGACACUGCCUUAUCAAACUAAAUAAACAAAAANNNNNNNNNNNNNNNNNNNNNNNNNNNNNNNNNNNNNNNNNNNNNNNNNNNNNNNNNNNNNNNNNNNNNNNNNNNNNNNNNNNNNNNNNNNNNNNNNNNNUCCGACGGCCACCUUCAUGGAUAUGUUCUUGAAUUUCUGAUGAAGUUCACAUGAUGUUGAAUCCUUGAUUCCAUCCACGGGGUAGCCGGGACCGCCCUCUAUCAUUCUUCGUUCAUCGGCGGGCGGGGCCUCAGAUUCAGCCACGCUGCUUUUCCGCUUAGAUGGGGCACCGGUAAUAUCAAGUGCAGGAUCUUCCUGGCGCGGUACUCCUCUAAGCUCAUCAAUCUUCUUCUGUUGCUCGUUAAUCCUGGCAAGCAACUGGUUGAACUUGUCAUUCUCCUCAUCCUGCUUCCGCUUCUGUGCUCUCUCUCGGCUUCUGUAAGUGUCUUGGUCUCUGGCAAACCCAAGCCACCACGGGUAAGAUGGACCGAAGCCUCGCAUUCGUCCUCCAUGUUCGUCAUUGCCGAGGACCAGUGUGAGCAAAUCUUUAUCUCUAUCUGCAGUGAACUUUCUUUGUCCCUCCUUAAUUUCUUUCACUAUCCUUUUCCAAUUCUCCCUGGGUAUCCUAAGAUUGUCAUUGCAGAUGAGGUCCCCUGUUUUUUCGUCGCACGACCCACCAUGCGCAAGGAACCAAUUUCUUGCUCUCCAUUCCCACUCAUCACGGAGUGGUUCAGGUACGAUGCCUUUAUCUAUCAGAUCUUGCUCUUUCUUUUCCCACUUUGGGAUCGCAGUCUCAUAGCCCCCUGGCCCCAGCUUGUGGUUAUAUAUCUUCUUGUCGGCAUUUAUCUUGUUCUUUUCUGAUAAUGCCUGGGCAUNNNNNNNNNNCCCUGGCCCCAGCUUGUGGUGAUAUUUCUUCUUGUCGGCAUUUAUCUUGUUCUUUUCUGAUAAUGCCUGGGCAUCUUCUCACUCCUUGUACUCUUGAAAUUCCUUCCAGUGAUUCGCAUGCUUGGCUAGAUACCCCUCGAAUACUGGCACUUUCUUUGUCGUCAGAUAGUUUUUCCAUAGCUUCUUCUUCCAGCUACGGAAUAGUUCGGCCAUCUUCUUUAGAGUCGACUGCUUGACUUUGGCCCUCAGUUUGUCUGCGGCGUCUUCAUUCUCACAUUCUGGCAGGUUGAAAUGUGACAUGAUAUCAUUCCAAAGACUAUCUUUGUACCUUUCGACGACAUAGUCACUAUCGGCUGCCCCUUUGCGCUUGUUCCACUCCCGAACGCUGAUCGGGACGUGAUACCUAACGAGAACUCCGCAUUGCUUCUUGAAUGUGUCAGCAUCAUUCUUAGGAAGCUUGGGUUCACCCGUAGGCAUUAUCAGCUCAAAGGUGUAAUGCGUCNNNNNNNNNNNNNNNNNNNNNNNNNNNNNNNNNNNNNNNNNNNNNNNNNNNNNNNNNNNNNNNNNNNNNNNNNNNNNNNNNNNNNNNNNNNNNNNNNNNNNNNNNNNNNNNNNNNNNNNNNNNNNNNNNNNNNNNNNNNNNNNNUGGAGGCCUAAGAGGGAGAAACAUUCGUCAAAUGAAUGUAUAUGUAUAGAAUAUAGAGCUAUCUCCAAUAUUUUUCACAUAUUACAAGUGAUUGUCGAACUUCAUAUGUAUACCUCGCCGGACUUUAUUAUUUCUUCACCGGCUUAUCCACCGGCUUCUUCAUCAGUGGAGCUAUCACCUUCUCCAUCAUUGGACCUAUCUCCUUUUUCUUCUUUUCUUCUCCUUUUUCUUCUUUUCUUCUCCUUUUUCUUCUUUUCUUCUCUUUUUCCUUCCUUUCUUCUCCUUUUUCUUCUUUUCUUCUCUUUUUCCUUCCUUUCUUCUCCUUUUUCUUCUUUUCUUCUCUUUUUUCUUCUUUGCUUGUGCUGGCCGGAGUGUUGGGGAGGAGGGGGCAUGGGGCUUACCGGCCGGAGGUGUCGACGGCGCGCGGCGAGGAGGACGGCGGCGCGCGGCGAGGAGGACGGGGCGACUCGCGGCGAGCAGGACGGCGGCGGCGAGUANNNNNNNNNNGCCCCAUCGGCUUCAUCUUCGUGUCGCUCGACCUCCAUUCCAUAUCCAUAGUCGUUUAGAUAUGACGUCGGAGAUUCAGCUGGUUCAACGUCGGGGCCGUCUUUGAUUAUAUCUUCGAGAAGUUCUUCCUCUUCGAGGUUCCUGAUAUGUGGAUCCAUAGUUCUGCAAAAAACGGACAUUUGAUUAACUAAUAAACUAACAAACUAUAUAAGAGGGGUUGGAAACUUCGAAGGCUCGUUUUAUAUAGGAGGACCUUUAGUCCCGGGUCUUGGCUAGAACCUAAACUCUAAAAUACCAGCCGGGCGGAGCCCAGUCCCGGACACUUAAGCAUAUACAAUAGCAAAAUUAAACUAGUUCUAUUAAUUUUCUUGCUAAAAAUAAACUAUUAACACUUAAGCAUAUACAAUAGAAAAAUUAAACUAUUAACAAUUAAGCAUAUACAAUAGCAAAAUUAAGCAAUAAUCUAAGAAACACUAUUAACACUUAAGCAUAUACACUAUACAAUAGCAAAAUUAAAUGACAAAAAAAAUAGUUCUUCUUCUUGUAACCCUAAACUAAUUUUUCCUCUUCUUCUAUUUGUCCUCUUCUUCUACUUCUUCUUCUACUUCUACUUCUCCUCUUCUUCUACUACUUCUCCUCUCCUCUUCUUCUAUUUUUCCUCUUCUUCUCCUCUCCUCCUCUUCUUAUUCUCCUUUUUCUUCUUUUCUUCUCCUCCUCUUCUUAUUCUCCUUUUUCUUCCUUUCUUCUCCUUUUUCUUCCUUUCUUCUAUUUUUCUUCCUUUCUUCUCCUUUUUCUUCCUUUCUUCUCCUUUUUCUUCUUUUCUUCUCCUUUUCCUUCCUUUCUUCUCCUUUUUCUUCUUUUCUUCUCUUUUUUAUUCCUUUCUUCUCCUUUUUCUUCCUUUCUUCUCCUUUUUCUUCUUUGCUUGUGCUGGCCGGAGUGUUGGGGAGGAGGGGGUGUGGGGCUUACCGGCCGGAGGUGUCGACGGCGUGCGGCGAGGAGGACGGCGGCGAGCGGCGAGGAGGACGGCGGCGCGCGGCGAGGAGGGCGGCGCGCGGCGAGCAGGACGANNNNNNNNNNNNNNNNNNNNNNNNNNNNNNNNNNNNNNNNNNNNNNNNNNNNNNNNNNNNNNNNNNNNNNNNNNNNNNNNNNNNNNNNNNNNNNNNNNNNCCCGAGUGCGACUUUUAGUGCACACUCGGAGAAAGUUAAUACUUAGGCGAUUCUNNNNNNNNNNGAGUGUAUCUGUAGGAUACACUCGAAGGCAAUUGAGUACUUAGGCGAUUCGUGAUCGCGGCUAAGUCUUCGAGUGCGACUGUAAGGUCGUGCUCAGAGCGAGUUUUUACUCAUGUAAUUGUUAGUGGUGUUGACAUCUACAUGAGCCUCAAUGAGGUUCUGCUACUCAUGUAAUUGUCAGUUGUCUUGACAUCUACAUGAGCCUCACUGAGGGUCUGUUGAGUCCCCAAGUUUAUCUGUAGGAUACACUCAAAGGCAAUUGAGUACUUAGGCGAUUCUGAUCGCGGCUAAGUCUUUGACUGCGACUGUAAGGUCGUGCUCGGAGCGAGUUGUUACUCAUGUAAUUGUCAGUGGUCUUGACAUCUACAUGAGCCUCAAUGAGGUUCUGCUACUCAUGGAAUUGUCAGUUGUCUUGACAUCUACAUGAGCCUCACUGAGGGUCUGUUGAGUCCCCNNNNNNNNNNNNNNNNNNNNNNNNNNNNNNNNNNNNNNNNNNNNNNNNNNNNNNNNNNNNNNNNNNNNNNNNNNNNNNNNNNNNNNNNNNNNNNNNNNNNAGUCUACACUUCUUAAUAUGUCCGAUAGAAAUAUUAAGAUUGAGGCUGAGAAGAAGGUGCAAACUCUUCUCACAGAGAGGAGAUGAAAUGGGCCCUUUGAGCAAAGGUGGCGAAGGUGGACCAUGGAGAUGAUAAAACACAAUUCUUUCACAUGAUUGGGAAUGGCAAACAUAGGAAGAAGAAAAUAAUUCUACUUGAACACGAUGAUGAUACAAUUGUAGGAAAUGAGAACCUAAAAUUGUACAUCUUCGAGUAUUAUAAGAAACUUUUUGGUGCACCCGAAGAGAAUUUUGUUUUUCUGGAUUAGAGCACAACAAGUGACAUUCCUCAACCCAGUUCAGAUGAGAACGAGAUUUUGUCAGCCCCAUUUACGGAUGAAGAGAUGUUUGACGCAAUAUCACAAAUGAAGCAAAAUAAGGCACCGGGACCAGAUGGGUUUCUGAUGGAAUUUUAUAAAAAGUGUUGGCAUAUUAUUAAAGAUGAUAUUUGCAUAUGUUCCAUGAUUUGUUUAAUGGGUAUUUACAUCUAUUCCACCUUAACUUUGGAAUAAUAAUGGUGUUUCUAAAGAAGGUGGAGGCUAUUCGCAUUGAGAAGAUCAGGCUGACUGCUCAAUGCCAGCUUCAAAAAAUUUACAAAGGUUGGCACGAAUAGGUUGACAAAGAUAGCCCAUUCCGUAGUCCAAUCGACCGAGACAACUUUCAUGCAUGGAAGACAUAUCCUAGAAGGGUUCAUUGUUUUGCAUGAAAAGUUGCAUGAAAUACAUAAAAAGAAACUUGAUGGGCUUAUCUUUAAAGUGGAUCUCAAGAAGGCGUACGAUAAGGUCAAAUGGCCAUUUCUUCAACAAGCCUUGUGUAUGAAGGGAUUCAACGAAUCCUAGAGGGAUCAUGUGGGUGCUUUCAUUUAGAAAGGUAGAGUUGGGAUUAAAAUUAAUGAUGACAUAGCUCAUUAUUUUUAGACUCAUAAGGGAUUGAGGCACGGAGAUUUCAUGUCUCCCUUGUUGUUCAACAUAGUAGCAGAUAUGUUGGCACUCCUUAUUGAUCGGGCUAAAGAGAAUGGCCAAGUAGGAGGACUUCCUUGGGGAACGUCGCAUGGGAAACAAAAAAUUUCCUACGCGCACUAAUACGUCCAUUUUGCAUCAUUCUUUCAUGUUGAUAUUUAUUGUUUUUUCGGAUUUUAUAUUACUUCUGGUAGCAUAUUUAUGCCUCUUCUCUCUUAUUUUGCAAGGCUUAUUUGAAGAGGGAGAAUUCAGGCAGCUGGAAUUCAGGACUGGAAAAGGAGCAAAUCCUAGUCCACUAUUCUGCACAUCUCCAAAUACCCUGAAAAUUUACGUGGAUUUUUUCUGGAAUAUAUUAAAAAUACUGGGCGAAAGAACUACCGGAGGGGUCCACCAGGGCCCCACAAGCCCCCACUCCGCCACCAACCCCCCUGGUGGCGGUGGGCAAGCUUGUGUGCUGCCUGAAGGCCCACUAGCCCCCCUCUUUUGCUAUGUGAAGCGUCCUGACCUGGGAAAAAUCAUACGGGAGCUUUUUCGUGGUUUCGCCGUCGCCACGAGGCGGAACUUGAGCACAUCCAAUCUAGAGCUCCGGUAGGACGAUCCCGCCAGGGAAAUUUCCCUCCCGGAGGGGGGGAAUCGUCGCCAUCGUCAUCACCAACACUCCUCUCGUCGGAGGGGAGUCAUCUUCAUCAACAUGUUCAUCAGCACCAUCUCCUCUCCAAUCCCUAGUUCAUCUCUUGUAAUCAAUCUUCGUCUCGCGACUCCGAUUGGUACUUUUAAGGUUGCUAGUAGUGUUGAUUACUCUUUGUAGUUGAUGCUUGUUGGAUUACUUGGUGGAAGAGUUGAUGUUCAUAUCCUUGAUGCUAUUCAUUACACCUCUGGUCAUGAUUAUGAUUAUGUCUUGUGAGUAGAUACUUUUGUUCGUGAGGACAUGGGAUAAGUCAUGCUGAUAAUAGUCAUGUGAAUUUGAUAUUCGUUCGGUAUUAUGAUAUGAUGUAUGUUGUUUUCCCUCUAGUGGUGUUAUGUGAACGUCGACUACAUAACACUUCACCAUGUUUGGGCCUAGAGGAAGGCAUUGGGAAGUAGUAAGUAGAUGAUGGGUUGCUGGAGUGACACAAGCUUAAACCCCAGUUUAUGCGUUGCUUCGUGAGGGGCUGAUUUGGAUCCACUAGUUUAAUGCUAUGGUUAGACUUUGUCUUAAUUCUUCUUUUGUAGUUGCGGAUGCUUGCGAGAGAGGUUAAUCAUAAGUGGAUGCUUUUCCAAGUAAGGGCAGUACCCAAGCGCCGGUCCACCCACAUAUCAAACUAUCAAAGUAACGAACGUGAAUCAUAUGAACAUGAUGAAACUAGCAUGACAGAAAUUCCCGUGUGUCCUCGGGAGCGUUUUUCCUCCUAUAAGACUUUGUUCAGGCUUGUCCCUUGCUACAAAAGGGAUUGGGACACUUGCUGCACUGUUUCUACUACUUGUUACUUGUUACUCUUUGCUUGCUACGUUUCACCUCGCUACACAAUCACCUAUUACCGCUACUUUCAGUGCUUGCAGUUAUUACCUUGCUGAAAUCCGUUUAUCACAGCCUUCUGCUCCUCGUUGGGUUCGACACUCAUACUUAUCGAAAGGACUAUGAUUGAUCCCCUAUACUUGUGGGUCAUCAAGACUCUUUUCUGGCGCCGUUGCCGGGGAGUGAAGCGCCUUUGGUAACUGGAAAUUGGUAAGGAAACAUUUAUAUACUAUGCUGAAAUUUAUUGUCACUUGUCACUAUGGAAACUCUUCCUUUGAGGAGUUUGUUCGGGGUAUAUUCACCACGAACGGAAGCACGAGGAGUUGCUCCUCAACCUGAGGUACCUACUGAAAAUAUCUUUUAUGAAAUUGCUUUGGGUAUGCUUGAGAAACUGCUGGCUAAUCCUUUCACAGGAGAUGGAUCUUCACAUCCAGACUUUCAUCUAAUCUAUGUAGAUGAAGUUUGUGGUUUAUUUAAGCUUGCAGGUUUGCCCGAGGAUGAGGUAAAUAAGAAAGUCUUUCCUUUAUCUUUGAAGGAUAAGGAGUUGACAUGGUAUAGGCUAUGUGAUGAUGAUGGAUCAUGGGGCUACAAUCGGUUGAAAUUGGAAUUUCAUCAAAAGUUCUAUCCUAUGCAUUUAGUACAUCGUGAUCGGAACUUUAUUUAUAACUUUUGGCCUCGUGACAGGGAAAGCAUAGCUCAAGCUUGGGGAGGCUUAAAUCAAUGAUAUAUUCAUGCCCCAAUCAUGAGCUCUCGAGAGAAAUCAUCACUCAAAACUUUUAUGCUCGGCUUUCUCAUGAAGAUCGUACCAUGCUUGACACUUCUUGUGCCGAUUCUUUUAUGAAGAAGGAUAUUGAUCACAAGUGGAAUUUAUUGGAGAGAAUCAAACGCAACUCCGAAGAUUGGGAGUUGGAGGAAGGUAAGGACUCAGGUAUGAAUUUCCAGUUUGAUUGCGUUAAAUCUUUUGUUGAGACAAACACUUCUAGAGAUUUUAGCGCUAAGUAUGGACUUGACUCUGAGAUAGUAGCAUCUCUUUGUGAAUCUUUUGCUGCUCAUGUUGAACUUCCCAAAGAGAAGUGGCAUCCUCCUGUAGAAAGCAACAUAGCCUAAACCAAUCUAGUUGAGGAGAAAAUCAUAGCUUUUAGUGAUCCUGUUGUUCCUUGUGCUUACACUAAGAAACCACCAUCCCCUGCUAGAAUGAAGGAUUAUUCUAAAGCUCCAACUGUGAUAUGUAGGGGUUACAUUAGACCACUUGCACCCCCUGAGGAGAUUAGAGUUGAACCUAGUGUUGCUAUUAUCAAAGAUCUCUUAGCCGAAGACAUAGAUGGGCAUGUUAUUAAAUUCUGUGAGGACUCUGCUAGAAUUGCUAAACCUCACGCGAAAGACAAGCAUGGACCUGUAGUUGGCCUUCUCGUUGUUUCUGUUAAGAUAGGAGAUCACUGCUACCAUGGUUUAUGUGAUAUGGGAGCUAGUGUUAUUGCAAUACCCCGUUAUCUCUAUGAUGAAAUCAAAGAUGAGAUUGCACCUGCUGAGAUAGAAUCCAUUGAUGUCACUAUCACGCUAGCUAAUAGAGACACUAUCUGCCCUUUGGGAAUUGUGAGAGACGUAGAAGUCCUGUGUGGUAAGACGAAGUAUCCUACUGAUUUCCUCCUCCUCGGUACUGCACAAGAUAGCUUUUGUCCCAUCAUAUUUGGUAGACCCUUUCUCAACACUGUCAAUGCUCACAUUGAUUGCAUUAAGCAGACUGUCACAGUAAGUUUUGAGGGUGUGUCUCAUGAAUUUAACUUCUCCAAGUUUGGAAGACAACCCCAUGAAAGAGAGUCGUCUGGUAGAGAUGAAAUCAUUUCUCUUGCCUCUAUUGCCGUACCUCCUACGGAUCCUUUAGAGCAAUAUCUUGAGCAUGAAAAUGAUAUGCAUAUGGAGGAGAGAGAUGAGAUAGAUAGAAUUGUCUUAGAACAACAUCCUAUUCUCAAGAAUAAUCUGCCUGUUGAACUGCUUGGGGAUCCUCCCCCACCUAAGGGUGAUCCUGUGUUCGAGCUUAAAUAGUUGCCUGAUACUCUUAAGUAUGCCUAUCUUGAUGAGAAGGAUAUAUAUCCUGUCAUUAUCAGUGCCCUCCUCUCAGAGCUCGAAGAGAAGAAGUUACUAAAAACUCUGAGGAAGCACCGCGCUGCUAUUGGAUAUACUCUUGAUGAUCUUAAUUAAGGGUAUUAGUCCUACUCUAUGUCAGCACAAGAUUAAAACCGAUCCUGACUUUAAACCAGUUGCUGAUCAUCAAAGGAGAUUGAAUCCUAAGAUGAAAGAGGUCGUUAGAAAAGAAAUAUUAAAGCUUCUGGAAGCAGGAAUCAUUUAUCCUGUUGCUCAUAGUGAUUGGUAAGUCCAGUACAUUGCGUACCUAAGAAGGGAGGUAUCACCGUCGUUCCUAAUGAUAAGGAUGAACUAAUCCCACAAAGGAUUAUUACCGGCUAUAGAAUGGUGAUAGACUUCCGGAAACUGAACAAGGCAACCAGGAAAGAUCAUUAUCCUUUGUCGUUCAUCGACCAAAUGCUAGAAAGGCUAUCAAAACACACACACUUCUGCUUUCUAGACGGUUAUUCAGGUUUCUCGUAGAUACUUGUUGCACAAUCUGAUCAAGAGUAAACCACUUUCACCUGCCCUUUCGGUACCUUUGCCUAUAGACGUAUGCCUUUUGGCUUAUGCAAUGCACCCGCCACCUUCCAAAGAUGUAUGAUGGCUAUAUUCUCUGACUUCUGUGAAAAGAUUGUCGAGGUUUUCAUGGAUUACUUCUCCGUUUAUGGGUCUUCCUUUGAUGAUUGCCUCAGCAACCUUGAUGGAGUCUUACAGAGAUGCGAAGAAACCAACCUCGUCUUGAAUUGGGAGAAGUGCCACUUUAUGGUUAAUGAAGGUAUCGUCUUAGGACACAAAAUCUCUGAAAGAGGCAUUGAAGUUGAUAAGGCUAAGGUUGAUGCAAUUGAUAAAAUGCCUUGCCCCACAGAUAUCAGAGGUAUACGAAGUUUCCUAGGUCAUGCUGGUUUGUAUAGAAGGUUCAUUAAAGACUUAUCUAAGAUUUCUAGGCCUCUUACCAACCUCUUGCAGAAGGAUGUUCCUUUUGUUUUUGAUGAGGAUUGUGAGGAAGCCUUCGAAAUACUUAAGAAGGCUUUGAUAACCGCACCUAUUGUUCAACCACCUGACUGGAACUUGCCCUUUGAAAUCAUGUGUGUCGCUAGUGAUUACGCUGUUGGUGCUGUUCUAGGACAAAGAGUUGACAAGAAGUUGAAUGUCAUUCACUACGCUAGUAAAACUCUAGACAGUGCCCAAAGAAACUAUGUCACUAUGGAGAAGAAAUUUUUAGUAGUCGUGUUUGCAUGUGAAAAAACAGAUCUUACAUAGUUGACUCCAAAGUCACUAUUCACUCUGAUCAGUCUGCUAUUAAGUACCUUAUGCAGAAGAAGGAUGCUAAGCCUAGGCUGAUCAGAUGGGUUCUCCUGCUACAGGAAUUUGAUUUGCACGUCGUUGACCGAAAAGGUGCUGACAAUCCUAUAGCAGAUAACUUGUCUAGACUAGAGAAUGUCCGUGAUGACCCACUACCAAUUGAUGACAGCUUUCCUGAUGAGCAAUUAAAUGUCAUCCGCACUUCACUUAGUGCACCGUGGUAUGCCGAUUAUGCAAACUAUAUCGUAGCCAAAUACAUACCACCCAGUUUCACCUAUGAACAAAAGAGGAAAUUCUUCGUUGAUUUGAGACACUACUUCUGGGAUGAUCCUCACCUUUAUAAGGAAGGAGUAGAUGGUGUUAUUAGACGUUGUGUGCCUGAACAUGAACAGGGACAGAUCCUGCAGAAGUGUCAUUCCGAAGCCUACGGAGGACACCAUGCUGGAGAUAGAAUUGCCCAUAAGGUAUUGCAAUCAGGUUUCUAUUGGCCCACUCUCUUCAAGGAUGCCCGUAAGUUUGUCUUUUCUUGUGACGAAUGCCUAAGGAUAGGGAACAUCAGUAAGCGUCAAGAGAUGCCUAUGAACUAUUCACUUGUCAUUGAACCAUUUGAUGUCUGGGGCUUUGAUUAUAUGGGACCCUUCCCGAGUUCCGAUGGGUACACUCACAUCUUAGUUGCUGUGGAUUACGUUACUAAGUGGGUAGAAGCUAUCCCCACUAAAAAUGCUGAUCACCACACCUCUAUUAAGAUGCUUAAAGAAGUCAUAUUCCCAAGAUUUGGAGUCCCUAGAUACUUGAUGACUGAUUGCGAUUCACACUUCAUUCAUGGUGUUUUCCGCAAGAUGCUAGCUAAGUAUGAUGUCAACCAUAGAGUUGCAUCUCCUUAUCAUCCUCAGUCUAGUGGUCAAGUGGAGUUGAGUAAUAGGGAGAUCAAAUUGAUCCUACAAAAGACCGUCAAUAGAUCUCGAAAGAACUGGUCAAGCAAACUUGACGAUGCACUAUGGGCUUAUAGGACUGCUUAUAAGAAUUCCAUGGGCAUGUCACCGUAUAAAAUGGUUUACGGUAAAGUCUAUCAUUUACCUCUUGAGCUGGAACACAAAGCUUAUUGGGCAAUCAAAGAGCUCAACUUUGAUUUCAAACUUGCUGGUGAGAAGCGGUUGUUUGAUAUCAGCUCGUUGGAUGAAUGGAGAGCCCAGGCAUAUGAGAAUGCCAGGUUGUUCAAGGAAAAGGUUAAGAGAUGGCACGACAAACGAAUACAGAAACGAGAGUUCAAUGUAGGUGAUUAUGUCUUGCUAUACAAUUCUCGUUUGAGAUUCUUUGCACGCUAGCUUCUCUCUAAAUGGGAAGGUUCCUAUGUUGUCGAGGAAGUAUAUCGUUCCGGUGCCAUCAAAAUCAAUAACACGGAAGGAAAUUUUCCUAGAGUGGUAAAUGGGCAAAGAAUCAAGCAUUACAUCUCUGGUACUCCCAUAAAUGUUGAGACCAAUAUCAUCAAUGUCAUAACUCCAGAGGAGUACAUAAGGGAUGUUUAUCAGCCUGUUUCAGACCUUGAAAACGAAGAUGUAUCUGUUUCGGCAAGAAAUUGGACUCCGAUAUUUUGUACGCAAGUAUGCAUGAUUGAAUGAAUCAUGAUACGAUCAACGUAUUUUGGCAUUCACUUUCUACAUCUUGUUUUUGUUCUUUUUUUCUUGUUUCUAUCAUUGUGGCACUCGGAUGGAUGGCGACGCUUCUUUUUUGAGUUCAUCUUCCAGGCUUCGAUUCUCAUUAAGUCUGUCCGUCUGGACAUAGUCGACGGAGCUACUGCGUAGAAUCAUGUUGUCUUCUUCUCGUGACGAGGUUAUGGUUUCUCGUCAUAUGACGAGAUUUGGUGUCAUUGCUUCAGAUCAAUGAAAUGGUUCUAUAGCGACGACUACGGUCCCAGGGUUUGGUCCUUACGUGCAUCUGGAGGAAGAUAUCUCGGAUGUCAUCGUCAGUGUCAAGUUGGCUCCGGUAGGGGAGCGGUGACAGCGAUGCAUCGUCGACACGUUCUAUCAGUUAAGUGGUUAUUCGGUGGUUUCGGAAUCUCAUUCUAAUUUUUAUUAUGUUUGAGAUGCUUUGUAUUUUCGAUGAACGUUUAUAAAAGAUCUGAUACUUUGCUUAAAAAUGAAUGAAAAAUGAUCCUUCCCCAUCGACUCUACUUCCGCUGCGCUACGAGUCGGUAAUGAUCAGAUAAAACCCUGUAUGCAUCUCCUUAGUGGUCCUGGGCGUGCUCGUAGUACCGAAAUUUUUUGUUUUCUAUCGCGUUCCUCUACAGUGGAAUCAUGAGCUAAGCUAUGGGUAGAUGGAGGUUAUGAUCUAGAAUACAUGAGAUGUAUGGGUAUAGCAUAGUAUAAUUUUGUAGUAGAUGAGAUCUAUUGCUGAAAAUUAUAUGUGCGGGUAGUAGAUGAAAUCUAUUACCCAAUAUUCUUGUUGCUUCGCGUGAAUUUGUGUGGUCCUGAUCCUGACGGCAUGGUGGAAUCUUACAAAGUUUUGGCAAUCCGCGAUCCUUUCAUGCUGCUCUUGAGUAUGUUGAUUGAUAGAUCACCGAAGUGCUUCAGUGCUUUUGGGUUCCACCAUAGUUGAGAAAGAUGGAUGUUUCGCAGACGAAAGGGAAAUGCAGAUAUGAUCUGCACGGGGGUCAUGCAUAUGACGAAGUUUAGUAUGGGGCUUGAGCUUUUAUUAUCUCGUGUUUCAUACACCUUGGAAAGUUAAUCUAGCAACUUGAAUUAUUAUACCUGAUGAUGAACGUUGGUAGCUGCAGUUUAAGUCAAAAACAUAGAAGCCAUGUAAAAAUAAAAUUUUGCAUUAACCAAUUAGAGGCGUCUAACUUGAUUUUACAGAAUGUGCAUGAGAUGUGGUAUAACAAUUCUCAUAUUCAACUUGAUUACGUAUGAGAUGACUAUAUAAUGUAAAUUAACAUGACCUGUGUGUCAUGAUUCUGCAUGAUGGCUGGAGCCAUAUGAUUGUCACUUUAAUGACAUGUGUUUCGACAUUAAGUAAUGCAUUUAUUUUACCAGCUAUAGAGAUAGCAAUAUUAUUUGAUGCGUCGAAAAGGUGGUGGCAAUAUUAUCUGAUGUGUACAUAUAUUUGUGCUAACCCUUUUCAAGUAUCCACACAACAUUUUUUUAUAAAUUGUGUACUUUUUCUUGGGUUUUAACUCAUCCUAAGUUGUUGUUCCCAUGAUCUUCGUGGGAAACCGUCUACUAUGUAGCUUCUCAUCCUGAAAAAAGGACCAGUUUUUGUAAGGUUGUUGUGUUCUUGGUUCUUUCACAAAAGUAUUGACUAGAUACUCUGCCUCUUUCUCUGAUAUCGGGCUUUCAACUCUCUAGUUAGGGUCAAAGGCUUAGAAUGUUACUCAUUAUGUAAACGAAUAUAAGACAGUUUAGAUCACUAUUAGCAUCUAAAAUGUUAAUAGUGACUCCCUAUAUAAACCAACAAAAGAACCCUUACGUUCUUUAUAUCAAGAUGGCAUUAGCAAUAGAACACUUACGUUACAAUGGGGCAGAAAAAUACCGCACAUCCUUAAUCCAAUAACCAUGACUCAAGGCUGCAUUCGGUCCACGUGGAUACCGUUUGUGUUGCGGCUUAUCCUCAUUACAACCCUUGCCGACAGUGGCCUCAGUCCUCAAACAACCACAACACGUUUGAAUGUGAUCAAUCCUAACGUGUAUUGCUCUCUCUCGGCAUCAAAUGAGAAAUCUUCUUUAUUUUCCCCUUGCAAGGUUUUGUCGAGGCUUGCUUGCGAGGCUAUAGAUGAUUUGUUUUGUCUCCAAUGUGGUUUUGCUAAGGUGCGAUUUCUAUUCCGUUACUACACUGUUUUCAAAGAAAGACGAACCGUGAGCUAUUGAUUAAGAUGGCAACCUAAAUAAUAUUUUAAAAGUGUUUAACAGGUAAAACAAAAUCACAUUCAGAUUCUAUAAUUCUUCUAAUUAAUCUUCAUCUAUAACAUGUCAAAAUUGAAGUUCGGGUUUAAAAGAUAUGGAUGUUCUUAAAAGUAUUUUAAUCAGCCCAUGGAGUUUGGGUUUAUUGAACAAAAUAUCGUUCUGAAAAACAUAGAAGAUUUUCUGGAGUCACUCAAAACAGGACAGUGGGUCGUUUAACCGAAAGGUUAAGAAGUUUUCAGUUAAAAAAAUAAAUAUUUUUUAUAUUCACUUAAAACCAGGACCGUGCGUUGAUUUCAUGAAACAAUAGGGUUUUUUCUUUGCAAAAGGCGCGACGGAUGGGUAGAAACAUUUCUCCUUUUAUUAGUAGGUAAAGACUAGUGAUCAAGAAUGUAUUAUACUCCCUUCAUUUCUAAAUAUAAGUGUUUUUAGAGAUUUCACUAAAAACUAUAUACGGAUGUAUAUAGACACAAUUUAGAUUGUAGAUUCAUUCAUUUUGCUUAAUAAUGGAGGAAGUAUUAGUUUACAGAUGUAGUGUCUUUAUGUGGCUAGCGAAAUACCAACAAUAUCUACAUGAUUAAAUGGAUGUGCCUAUAUGUGCAAUUCAGAGAGCUUGAGAGAGCAAGUUUUGGAUGAAUCCACCUUACUAUAUCCUAGUACAUCCAUCACACGUACAGCUAGCUAGGGAACCCUGACGCAAUGACGUGCAUAUAUAGAUAUGAGGCAACCCUGCCGACAUGGAAAACUAUAUGUCCAUGUGAACACUUGACUGGUCAUACUACACUACAAGAAAAUAGAAUAACCACACACGCAAUGUAUAUCAGAAUACCAGCACCGCGUAGACUUCACUAAUUGCAUGACAGGUCGAUCGACUUGCAUGUCCCAUGGAAAUGACUGGCCUAGGAUCACAGCAGUGGGGUGUCAGUUCGUAAAAUUUAACUUAAGUACCAUCUUAGUUUUAACAAAUAGUCCUAAAAUGGCACAAAGUUGUCAGAGAAUUAUAGCGAAUAUAGUAUAAAGUAGUUUGCAUUUUUUAGAGGAGUGCCACAGCCAUGGCAGUAUGGCACCUCAAGAUCUGCAGCUGUUUCGUGUAUUGGAGCUAAAUAAUGAGUGCAACAUUUCGGUGUCCUCUGCAUCCGGUUAGGAAAAAAAUCAUAAAAAACUUCAAAAAAUGCCAAUAAAAUCAAAAAAAAUCUCAUGGUAGAAAAGUUUUUGCGUGAGGUCCGCUCCAAUUUUUAGAUUAUUUGAACAUCUGAUAAGCUCUCAGCAAAAAAGAUAAAUUGGAUCAGAACAGUGUAUGAACCAUAACUUUUUUAUGAACCCUGAAUUUGUCUUUUUUUCUGAGAGAUGCUGAGAUGUUUAAAUGAUUUAAAAACUGAAGGGGCCUUUACCAUCAAAUUAUCUACAACGUAAAAAAAUCUAGUAUUUGUUUUGAUUUUAUUUUCUUCGGCGCGGGGUGCAGAUGAGCCUGGGCUCGGAAGUGGAUUAUCGCUAAAUAAUAUGUUGUUUUGUCAAAAGAAAGAUAGGACCCCCAGCCUCUGCAACCUCUGCAUUAUGAUGAUGCACACAACCAUAUUUAUUAAAGUUGAUGUAAGGGGCAGAGAACAAAAUUAUCAAUAAGUGUAGUACAUAACUAUUACAAGAUGUGAAUUUAACACUUAGGACUAAAUCGACUUCUUUCGCAAGACUUCAGUAAGGAAAAGACGCCCUCACAUCAUCGUCAUCACAUUCGACCGGAGACGUCUAGGACACGAAUUUCCAUCCUAGUAGCCCAACCAAGGCCGGGCGGGUCGCUGUUGGAUAUGAAUCCUGCAACUACCCUUGUUGGGCCAGUGGCUCCAGUCGAAGGCGCGAGAUGGCACAACUGCCCCGUCUACUUUAACGGGACCAUGAAGGCGCCUCAAAGCGCCAGCAUCACUCGCCAUGAGGAGCUCUCGAAGAUGGACUUGAGAGAAGGGGAGCGCUUACACGAUUUUGCUCAAGGAGAGGGGGAGCGCUUACACGAUUUUGCUCAAGGAGAGGGUGCAUCGUAAAAUCGCACGGUCUCCUAGAUUAGGGGGUAUUAACCUGGUCGGUCCACGCUCCUCGAAUUGGGCCGAUGGGCCAUCAUCCUACUCGAGGUGGACUCCGGAAGCUGCACAUUGGGUGUUAUCAAGGUUACAUCUGCCGAAGGCUUGACAUAUACUUCAAGACUCCUCCUCCCGCCUCUAUGUUAGGAUACCGACCUUGUAGCCCUAGAUAUCCUACGUAGGGUUUUACCUUCAUCAAGAGGGCUCGAACCUGGAUAAACAUCGUCUCCCUGUUCCUGUUAUCAUUUGUCCAACAUCAACAGCUUGGGGCCUCCUACCCCGAGGUCUACCGGUUUUCACACCCACUGUGUUCUCUCAAGAAAAAAAUGCUAUAUUUUUUUAACCGGUCUAACCCCCUUUCCAUUACUUGAAUAACGAAAUACAUCAGAUCCUAGAGUUCAACAGGAGGAGGGAAAGGAGAUAGAGCGAGUUCAACCAUUGCUAGGAAACCCACUGUGACCGCUCGUCAUCGAAUCGAUCACUGCGAGACGAAAACCUAGCUACAAUAUCCUAGCGGGAGAAGUAUCAUUCCUAUUACAACCUAGGAAUAAUAGGUACAAAAGAGAUAAUAGACUAAACAGUUUUUAAGUAUGUCAGAACACCACAAAAAGACUGCCAGCAGCCACCCUUGCAAAAGUGCAUCGUCCCCAUACCUCCGCUGUUCAUCCACGGCCAGCAUUGCACAGCCUCAUCAGUGACACAGUCCCCGCCCGAACAACUUCAGUUCCGGUUCGCAUCCUCUUCAUGUCGCCUGCUGGCUGCAAACCUGCCCAAUAAAGAAGGAAAGAGCAAUCAGUAAACACAAUCUCAAAUGAAGAUUUGAUCGGUUUUUUCUCCAAGGUAGGUGGAUUCCGAGCUAACCAAAUAGCCCAGGUAAUUGCAGCCAAGCCCACCGUAUAGAAUUUAUCAUCUCCAGGCAUGAAACAAUGGGACCAGGCAAAGUAUUGUCAGUGGUUGUUGGGUCCAAAAUAUGUCCCCAAACAAACCCCAGCCGAACGCCAUAACGCCAUAACUCUACAAAAAAGUGAUAUAAUGUGUAACUAUUUUGUUCAAGUCGAGCAGAUGGACUCUAUCUUGCACCAUAGCGUUUAAGCAGUAUUGAAAUUAGGUCCGCCUAUACAUCAAGUAUCUUGGGAAAAAAAACUGCAUCGAUCAAUUUUCCCAGCAGUUGGAUGGCACGAUCGUGGCACCACCUAUUAUCGUUUUCGCCCCUCACAUCGUACCUCCGUUCGGCCUCGCACAAAACAAAUUGUGUCUGACGCAAAGAAAAAAUGUAGGUACCUGAUGUUUAUCUAAACAAAUUGUGUGUUGGAUUAACUACUUAUUAUACAACAAGCUGAAGGUAUGUGUCCAGCCGUGCCAACGAGCCCGUACGGAAGAUAUAAUAGACACAUGAAAUCAAAGACAUACAGCUCGGAUAUGCGUCUCCCGUGAACGUGAUGAUCAGGGUAAGCCAGCUCCUAGAGCUGCCNNNNNNNNNNACAGAUGGACUCUAUCUUGCACCACAGCGUUUAAGCAGUAUUGAAAUUAGGUCGAGCAUAUGGUUUUCGCCCCUCACAUCGUACCUUCGUUCGGCCUCGCACAAAACAAAUUGUGACUGACGCAAAAAAAAAAUUCAGGUACCUGAUGUUUAUCAAAUGUGUGGAAUUCUUCGUCGGCACAACCAAUGGCGUCCUGGAUUAACUAAUUAUUAUACAACAAGCUGAAGGUAUGUGUCCAGCCGUGCCAACGAGCCCGUACGGAAGAUAUAAUGGACACAUGAAAUCAAAAAACCAUACAGCUCGUAUAUGUGUCUCCCGUGAACGUGAUGAUCAGGGUAAGCCAGCUCCGAGAGCUGCCAUGCCAGAUAUAUAUAUUCCUUUGUCCGAUGCGAUGCUCUAGAUUAUUUUGGCUCCACACUCGUAAAUCCAUCAAAUAUUUAUGUGCACUCUGCAGCAGACAACAUGCACAUAGGAGUACUCUUCUUGAAAANNNNNNNNNNUUUGAGAGCUCCCGUGAACCUUUGUCCGAUGUGAUGCUCUAAAUUAUUUUGGCUCCACACUCGUAAACCCAUCAAAUAUUUAUUUGCACUCUGCAGCAGACAACAUGCACAUAGGAGUACUCUUCUUGAAAACUAAAGGAAAGUCUCGUGGCACAGCUCUCAGGUUUUUGUUCAUUAGCGAACACAUUAAGCUCUAAUGAUGGAUGUCACACGUAACAUGCCAGUACAAUAAUGGUUGCACAUGAGUUUUGGAAAUUACCACGGCAACAGGCAAACUAACUACGUCGAUUGAUAAUGACAUGAACGAGGCACUUGCACNNNNNNNNNNCAAUGAUGGAUGUCACACACGUAACAUGCCAGUACAAUAAUGGUUGCACAUGAGUUUUGGAAAGUACCACGGCAACACGCAAACUAACUACGUCGAUUGAUAAUGACAUGAACGAGGCACUUGCACNNNNNNNNNNCUCGAUUGAUGAUGACAUGAAGGCACUUGCACACCACACCCGGUCUAUAAGUACCACCCCCAAACAACCCAAGAAAACCAUCCCAAGCUAGCAUACCCUACAAGCUUAAUUAGCCACAUACCAGCACAAACGAUCAGUAGCAAUNNNNNNNNNNUCUGUCCCAACAGCACUUGCACACCCCACCCGGUCUAUAAGUACCACCCCAAACAACCCAAGAAAACCAUCCCAAGCUAGCAUAGCCUACAAGCUUAAUUAGCCACAUACCAAAGGGCCUCCUGCCUGGGCUCACCGCACCGGCCACGUGGAGGCCCAUCUGUCCCGGUUUAUGCAAGAACCGAGACUAAAGGUUUAGGGCAUUAGUACCGACACUUUAGUCCCGGUUCAAAAAACGGGACAAAUGGCCCUCACGAACCGGGACAAUAGGUCCUUUUUCUACUAAUGGGAUAAGCUCUUUUGCAUUGUAGCUCGCUGGACGGUGUGGUUUAACUUUAGGUUUGUCCUUGUGAUGUUCGUGCUAUGCAUCAAGUGAUAGCUNNNNNNNNNNNNNNNNNNNNNNNNNNNNNNNNNNNNNNNNNNNNNNNNCUGGACACAUGGAAUCAAAACCGUACGAGACUCCUAUAUGUGUCUCCCGUGAACGUGAUGAUCAGGGUAAGCCAGCUCCUAGAGCUGCCAUGCCAGAUAUAUGUAUAUAUUCCUUUGUCCGAUCCGGUGCUCCAGAUUAUUAUGGCCACACUUGUAAGCCCAUCAAAUAUUUAUGUACACACAGCAGACAACAUGCAUAUAGGAGUANNNNNNNNNNAUGGACACAUGGAAUCAAAAUCGUACGACUCCUAUUUGUGUCUCCGUGAACGUGAUGAUCAGGGUAAGCCAGCUCCUAGAGCUGCCAUGCCAGAUAUAUCUAUUCCUUUGUCCGAUCCUGUGCUCCAGAUUAUUAUGGCCACACUUGUAAGCCAUCAAAUAUUUAUGUACACACAGCAGACAACAUGCAUAUAGGAGUACUCUUCUUGGAAACAAAAGGAAACUCUCAUGGCACAGCUCUCAAGUUUUUGUUCAUUAGCGAACAGAUUAAGCUCCAAUGAUGGAUGUCACACCCGUAACAUGCGAGUACAAUAAUGGUUGCACAUGAGUUUUGGAAAUUACCACGGCAAGAUUGAAACUAAUUACGUCGAUUGAUAAUGACAUGAACGAGGCAUUUGUUGGAAAUAAGUCGUGACGGAGCACGGUGCGACCGGCGUCGAUGCGUCGGGUCGGGUCCGUGACGGUGCGACCGACGUUGGUGCGUCGGGUCGGGUUCCGCAGGCUGGGUUACGACAACAUUGUGUGCAUGUACGUGUGGCGUGUGUGUAGUGCAGCGCAAAGCGUGCGUGGUCGCCAAGGCAGCUCGAGCUGGCCGUUAGCACGUUGUGCGCCUCGUGCGUGCUGGCCGGGCGGAUCGCUAGCUCUAGGUGCGUGCGUGCGUAGGAGACGUGGACGCUGCGUACCUGUAGGACUACAAAGCCGCGGACGCGAACAUGUAUUCAUCAGGGAAAGGAAGCAAAGUGGCUGUGUGUGCGGCCAGGCGUUAGUCGCCGGAAAAACUCCAGUGUGCAUUCUCCUUUCUUCUACCUCUGUCCAGUUGUGUGUGAGAGANNNNNNNNNNUCGAGUUCGUCGCUUGCCGCGCCGGGCAGGAGAACGAGAGGAAGAAGAAGAGAAAUGGAUGAUUUGGUUCGAAAUUUUCUAACUCCCGCUUAUACAGGUGGAUCUACAGUCCCGAUUCGUGGCUCGAUCCGGGACUAAAGAUCCUUUAGUCCCGGAUGGAGCCACGAACUGGGACUAAAGGCCCUUUUUCGGCUGACCAGAAGGCGGGAAGCAGGGGCCUUUAGUCCCGGGGCGUGGCUCGAACCGGGACUAAAGACCACUUUAGUCCCGGGUGGAGCCACGACCCGGGACUAAAGCCCCUUUUUCGGCUGACCAGAAGGCGGGAAGCAGGGGCCUUUAGUCCCGGGGCGUGGAAAGAACCGGGACUAAAGUUUUGCCUAUAUAAACCCUCGCCCCUGCCCACCAUAUCCCCUGUUUUUUGGUUGUUGAAGUGUGACCAUGCCAUGCUCUUGCCACUCUAGUUCAUGCACAUGACGUGUUCGAUGAAAUGCUCGAGCCACUCUACUUAAGCUUUCUCCUCUCCAAGCUCGACCUCCAAGCUCCAUUUUCCUUAAUAUUUGUCUAGGUUUGGCCGUGCACCAACUGCGAGCACCACCGUGGUGAGCCUCUUGUUCUUAUCUUCUUUUUAAAAUUAAAAAAAUCUUACUUGUAUGAAUUAUAUACAUACUUGUAUAAAUUACUCACUUUCAUUAUUUUUUGUUAUGAUAUAGUGCGAUGGUUUUGGUAUCCGCCUCCGUCGGCCCUCGUCCUGUCUAUGAUUCGGAUGUGGUAUAUAUUAUAUUUUAUAACUAUUUGUUUUAUUUAGUGUUUAUGACAAUUAUGACAUAUAUUUUUUAAUCUAGGAGGUAUGUGAACCGGAAAUUCCAACCCACAUAAAAAUUCUUGUCGAGAAGUUCAAUUUGGUUGAAAAAGAAAACAAAUACUUGAAGAAAAAAUUGAAAAUAAUUGAGGAUAAGAAUAUGGAACUGGAGUUGCAUGUCGCCGAUGUCAUCGAUGAUUGCAAGAUGAAGAUCGAUGCGAUGCGGUUGAAGAUGGAUGCAAUGCGCUUGAAGAUGGAUGAAAUGCGCUUGAAGAUUAGGAAUAUUAGAAAAUAUGCCAUUGAUAAGGAGGUUGGUAUCAUUAUGUUGUUGGGUCAAUUGUUACCUUAGUGCGAUUUUGAUCGCGUUUGUUGUUGCAUUUAAAUGUUUUACAUAGUUGUAUGUUGUUUCAUGAGAGAACUUUAUGUAUUUAUUUUUUGCAAUAAUAACAUUUGGUCACUACUGUUCUUUGGCUUUAAUGUGAUGAUGAACUUGUAUUAAUUUGGUCAUAUGUUUUGCAAUGGUUUUUUAAUAUAUUUGAUUUCAUAAUAGAGAUGAAUCGCCAAUGAUAAUAUUUAAUUUCAUAAUAUGGUUUUUUGAACUCCAUAAAAAGUUGAGAGGGCUACGACAAAAACUAGAUGCACUUCGUGUACAAAACGGACAAUCUCUCUCGAAGUAUCAGGGUUUCGAACGAGAACUUGUCUCUUACAAAGGGAUUUCAUUUUUGUGAACUUAUUUGAACUCCAUACUUUUUGGUGUGUUCAAAAUGCACCAUUCAAAGGCACAACACAAAAUUUCAACAAUUUCUGACUUCAUUUGGUAUAUUUCGUGGAUUUACUUAUUUGUUUUGAGCUAGUUGACCCUGAAAUUGAAAAGCACUACAAAUGAACUCUGAAAAUGUUGAAAGUUGGCAUGCUAUCAUCAUUUCACCCACAUAGCAUGUGCUAAAAAGUUGAGAGGGCUACGACAAAAACUGGAUGCACUUCGUGUACAAAACGGACAAUCUCUCUCGAAGUAUCAGGGUGUCGAACGAGAACUCAUCUCUUACAUGGAUAAUAUGAAAAUGAAAAGUGUUUGAAAUUUAGUACGUUCCAUACAUGCAUUACAUAAAAGGUUUAAUANNNNNNNNNNUUGGAUGCACUUCGUGUACAAAACGGACAAUCUCUCUCGAAGUAUGAGGGUUUCGAACGAGAACUCAUCUCUUACAUGGAUAAUAUGAAAAUGAAAAGUUUUUGAAAUUUAGUACGUUCCAUACAUGCAUUACAUAAAAGGUUUAAUACAUUAUUACAUUAUUGCACCAAUAUUCCUAUCUAUUAUUUCUGUUUUAUUCUGGGUCAUAGCCAUGGAGAAUCUUCAUCAUUCAUUAGGAUGCUUGGGUCAUUUUUCACUUUGAAGGGCGGAAUUUCAUGAAACUUAUUAUAAUCUUCUGNNNNNNNNNNCUUUUCUUCUGGGUCGUAGCCAUGGAGAAUCUUCAUCAUUCAGUAGGAUGCUUGGGUCAGUUUUCACUUUGAAGGGCGGAAUUUCAUGAAACUUAUUAUAAUCUUCUGACAUGUCUGUCUUGUCAUCUACUCCCACGAUGUUUCUUUUCCCUGAAAGAACCAUGUGGCGUUUUGGCUCAUCGGAUGAUAUCUUCUUUUGCUGAUUUCUUUUUCUCGUUAAUGUAGACAUGUCCUUCACAUAGAAAACCUGAGCGACAUCAUUGGCUAGGACAAAUGGUUCGUCCAUGUACGCAAGAUUGUUAAGAUCCACUGUUGUCAUGCCGUACUUUUGGUCUACAACUAACCCGCCUCCUCUCAGUUUCACCCAUUUGCACCGAAAUAAAGGAAUCAUAAAAGUAGGUCCAUAGUCAAGUUCCCAUAUCUCCUCUAUGUACCCGUAAUAUGUUUCCAAACAGUGCCCAUUCUCGUCUGUUGCAUCAAAGCAUACACCACUAUUUUGGUUGGUGCUCUUUUUAUCUUGGGCAACCGUGUAAAAUGUAUUCCCAUUUAUCUCAUACCCUUGCAAAGUACAUAUAGUCGAAGAUGGUGGCCUGGCCAAACAGUACAGCUCAUCUCCAACGGUGUCGUCAUUCAGGAGAUGUGUCUGCAACCAACUNNNNNNNNNNGAAAGUACAUAUAGUCGAAGAUGGUGGCCUGGCCAAACAAACAACUCAUCUCCAACGGUGUCGUCAUUCAGGAGAUGUGUCUGCAACCAACUGCCGAAAGUCUUCUCGUGUUCCCCUUUAAUCCAAGAGUCAGCCUUCCCCGGGUUUUCGGAGCGUAGAAUAUUCUUGUGUCUCACGAUAUACGGAGCCACCAUGGUGGAAUUGUGUAGAACUGUGUAGUGUGCUUGAGAGAAAGAAUGCUCGUCCAUACAUACUUUUGCUUUCCUUCCUAGUGUGCCUUUUCCUGUCAGCCUACCCUCAUACCGAGAUUCAGGAACACCAAUCGGCUUAAGGUCAGGAAGAAAGUCCACACAAAACUCAAUGACCUCCUCUGUUCCAUAGCCCUUGGAGAUGCUUCCUUCUGGCCUAGCACGGUUACGAACAUAUUUCUUUAAGACUUCCAUGGACCUCUCGAAGGGGAACAUAUUGUGUAGAAACACAGGACCGAGAAUUCUAAUCUCUUCGACUAGGUGAACUAGGAGGUGUGUCAUUAUAUUGAAGAAGGAUGGCGGGAACAACAACUCAAAGCUGACCAGACAUUGGACCACAUCAAUCUGUAACCCUGAUAGACUUUCUCGAUCGAUUACCUUCUGAGAAAUUGCAUUGAGGAAUGCACAUACCUUCACAAUUGCCAGGCGAACAUUUUCCGGUAGAAUUCCCCUCAAUGCAACCGGAAGCAAUUGCGUCAUAAGCAUGUGGCAGUCAUGAGACUUUAGGUCUUGGAAUUUUUUGUCUUUCAUAUUUAUGAUUCCCUUUAUAUUCGACGAGAAGUCAGUCAGGACCUUGAUACUGAAAAGGACUUCAAAGAAGAUUUCCUUCUCUUCCUUAGUAAGAGCGUAGCUGGCACGCCCUUGAAACUGCCCUGGAUGCAUGCCAUCUCUUCCUUUAUGACGUUCCUGGUCCUCCCGUGCUUCCGGUGUAUCUUUUGACUUCCCAUACAAGCCCAGGAAGCCUUGAAUAUUCACGCAGAGAUUCUUCGUCAGGUGCAUCACGUCGAUUGCCGAGCGGACCUCAUGGACUUCCCAGUAGGGUAGCUCCCAAAAUAUAGAUUUCUUCUUCCACAUGGGUACGCGCUUAUCAGGGCCGUUAGGAACAGGUUGGCUGCCAGGACCCUUUCCAAAGAUUACUUUUAAAUCUUUGACCAUAUCAAAUACUUCAGCACCAGUACGGAUGACAGGCUUCCCCCGGGGUUCUGCCUUGCCAUUGAAAUGNNNNNNNNNNAGACCCUUUCCAAAGGUUACUUUUAAAUCUUUGACCAUAUCAAAUACUUCAGCACGAGUACGGAUGACAGGCUUCCCCCGGGGUUCUGCCUUGCCAUUGAAAUGCUUGACUUUUUUCUUUAAGGGAUGCUUGGGCGGAAGAAAACAACGAUUGUACGGAUACACAUUCUUCCUACAGUUGUCGAGAUAUAUACUUUCUGUCUGAUCCAAACAGUGCGUGCAUGCAUUGUAUCCCUUGUUUAACUGUCCUGAAAUGUUACUAAGAGCAGGCCAAUCAUUGAUGGUUACGAAAAGCAACUCUCGAAGGUCAAAUUCCUCUUGUUUGUGCUCGUCCCACACACGUACACCUGGUUCGGCCCACAGCUGUAAAAGUUGAUCAACUAAUGGCCUUAGGUACACAUCAAUAUCGUUGCCGGGUUGCUUUAGACCUUGUAUAAGCACUGGCAUCAUAAUAAACUUCCGCUUCAUGCACAACCAAGGAGGAAGGUUGUAGAUACAUAGAGUAAUGGACCAGGUGUUGUGACUGCAACUCUGCUCCCCAAAAGGAUUCAUGCCAUCUGUACUCAGACCUAACCAUAAGUUCCUUGCGUCUGCUGCAAAUCUCGGGAACUCUCUCUUGAUUUUUCUCCACUGCCGACCAUCAGCGGUGUGCCUCAACUUAUCGUCUUUCAUACAAUCUUCCAUGUGCCAUCGCAACAACUUCGCAUGAUCUUUAUUUCUGAACAGACGUUUCAACCGUGGUAUUAUAGGAGCAUACCACAUCCCCUGGCAGGAACCGUCUUCCUGGGUGGCUCGCCCUCAAUAUCACCAGGGUCAUCUUUUCUGAUCUUAUACCGCAAUGCAGUCUAUACCGGGCAUUUAUCCAUAUUCUCGUACUUCUCACCUCGGUAGAGGAUGCAUUCAUUAGGGCAUGCAUGUAUCUUCUGCACGUCUAAUCCUAGAGGGCAGACAAGCUUCUUUGCUUCGUACGUGCUGGCGGGCAAUUCGUUCUUUCUUGGAAGCAUCUUCUUCAUCAGUACCAGCAACUUUUCGAAUGACGAGUCAGUCACACCGGUCUCUGUCUUCCACUUCAGCAAUUCCAGUGUGCUACCCAGCUUCUUCUGGCCAUCUUCACAAGUUGGGUACAACAAUUUGUUGUGGUCCUGUAACAUCUGCUCGAACUGCAACCUCUCCUUUUCUAUGUCGCAACCUCGCCGUGCAUCAGAAAUGACCCGGCCAAGAUCAUCAGCGGGCUCAUCUGGUUCCCGUUCUUCAUCCUGAUCUUCUUCUUCAUUGUCUUGCAUUGCGGUAUCAGCAUACUCAGGGAACAUAGAUCGGUAGUUGUCAUCAUCGUUCUCUUCUUCUUCAUCGUCGCCUUCCAUCAUAACCCCUCUUUCUCCGUGCUUGGUCCAAACAUUAUAGCCCGACAUAAAACCGGACCGAAGCAGGUGGCUCUGAAUGACUCUUGAGGAAGUGUAAUCCUUCCAAUUCGACAUUCAACACAUGGACAAAACAUAUAGCCACCACCAUGCUUGUUCGCAUUGGCUGCAUCUCGAAAAGAAUGCACGCCUUCUCUGUAAGCGGCUGUGCGUCGAUCACCGUACAUCCAUGGAUGGCUCAUCUCUGCGUUAUACGACAGUAUAUCAAAUACAAUCACGAUCCUAAAAAUUAGUACCGCACGAUCUAAACGAGGAAAUAUAGUUGCUAACCUUUUAGAAUAAGUAGAAAUAAAGAGGAAGAGGUUUAAGCGUGGCUUGGGCAUCUCAUAUCGUAGUUGUAUUCGGUGAACUGAAGCGGCAUCGCUCUAACACACAUUUCAACAAACACCUCUAGUGCAUAAAAAAAAGUGGAGAGCAAGCACCCACCCACAAUCCUCCAUCCAAUAAAAAUGCAACGAAGAGGGGAGAGGGGGGCUGUGCUAUAUAUAGGCAGAGGACUUUAGUCCCGGUUUGAGACACAAACCGGGACUAAAGGUGGCGCACAUGCGGGCUGCCCACCGCGUAGCCCUUUACUCCCGGCUUGGGACACGAACCGGGACUAAAGGCUCCUUACGGGCCGGGACUAAAGCCUCGAGGGAGGAUAUGAGAAUUGGGGCGACGUAGCCGGGCCUUUAGUUCCGGCCCAGAGGCAGGCCGGGACUAAAGGGUACAGGCCAAAGGCCCGGUUUCUACUAGUGUAUGUGUCCAGCCCUGCCAACGAGCCAGUAUAAUACACCAGAGUACGAAAGAUAUAAUAUACACAUGAAAUCAAAACCAUACAGCUCUUAUAUGUGUCUCCCGUGACCGUGAUGAUCAGGGUAUGCCAGCCCCUAGAGCUUCCAUGCCAGAUAUAUUCCUUUGUCCGAUGCUAUGCUCCAGAUUAUUAUGGCCACACUUGUAAACCAAUCAAAUAUUUAUAUGCAAACAGCAGACAACAUGCAUAUAGGAGUAUCUUCUUGGAAACUAAAGGAAACUCUCAUGGCACAGCUCCCAGGAUUUUGUUCAUUAGUGAAGAGCAGAUUAAGCUCCAAUGAUGAAUGUCACACACGUAACAUGCCAGUACAAUAAUGGUUGCACAUGAGUUUUGGAAACUACCACGGCAAGAAUGAAACUAAUUACCUCGAUUGAUAAUGACAUGAACGAGGCACUUGCACACCACACCCGGUCUAUAAGUACCACCCCCAAACAACCCAAGAAAACCAUCCCAAGCUACCAUAGCCUACAAGCUUAAUUAGCCAUAUACCAGCACGAUCCAUCAGUAGCAAUGGCGCCUUCCAAGCUCGCCUUCUUCCUCGCUCUGAACCUGGUCCUCCUUGCCGCCGUGCAGGGCUGCGGUCCCUACUGCCCACCGGUCNNNNNNNNNNGGCGCCCUCCAAGCUCGCCCUCUUCCUCGCCCUGAACCUGGUCCUCCUUGCCGCUGUGCAGGGCUGCGGCCCCUACUGCCCACCGGUCGUCCCCACCCCGCCGAUCCUCCCACCACCCGUGCCGUCGACCGACGGAGGCAGCUGCUCGAUCAACACGCUGAAGCUGGGCGUGUGCACCAACGUGCUGAACCUGCUGAAGCUUAAGAUUGGCGUGCCGGCGAACGAACAGUGCUGCCCACUCCUGGGCGGGCUCGCCNNNNNNNNNNGCUGCUCGAUCAACACGUUGAAGCUGGGCGUGUGCGCCAACGUGCUGAACCUGCUGAAGCUCAAGAUCGGCGUGCCGGCGAACGAGCAGUGCUGCCCACUCCUGGGCGGGCUCGCCGACCUCGACGCCGCGGUGUGCCUCUGCACCGCCAUCAGGGCCAACAUCCUCGGCAUCAAGCUCAACGUCCCCAUCGACCUGACCCUCCUCCUCAACCAGUGCGGCAAGAAGUGCCCAACCAACUUCACCUGCCCCAUCUGAUGCAUCCAUCCAUUGCAUGGGCUCCCUCGCUCGUGCAUGCAUGCUUGAUAAGCUCGUGAUUGAUCAUCAGGGUCAUUGUAUCCCGUUAUGGUAUCUAAAUGCACGAUUUGCAUAUUUGUAAAAGGAUAUACAUACUUGUACACGCACCUUGGAAUAUAAAAUUUGUUCAAGUUGGGGUUUUCUCUCUUCCCUCUCGGCUGGAACCCUAGCCCUCCUCGUCAAGAGAAAAGAUCAUCCUAGUGUAUGUAGCUUAGUAAAUAUACCCUAGCCCUCCUCGGCACAAAAAAUCUUAUGUAACUUAGGAACAAGGCAGGAUCUAAGAAUCAUUUUUNNNNNNNNNNCAACACGUUGAAACUGGGCGUGUGCGCCAACGUGCUGAACCUGCUGAAGCUCACUCCUGGGCGGGCUCACCGACCUCGACGCUGCCGUGUGCCUCUGCACCGCCAUCAGGGCCAACAUCCUCGGCAUCAAGCUCAAUGUCCCCAUCGACCUCACCCUCCUACUCAACCAGUGCGGCAAGAAGUGCCCCGCCAACUUCACCUGCCCCAUCUGAUCCAUCUAUCCAUGGAUUUACUCGUAGCUAUAUAUUGCAUGUCAUACGCGCGCACCAUAUGUCAGGACUUUGCAUGGGCUCCCUCGCUCGUGCAUGCAUGCUUGAUAAGCUCGUGAUNNNNNNNNNNNNNNNNNNNNNNNNNNNNNNNNNNNNNNNNNNNNNNNNNNNNNNNNNNNNNNNNNNNNNNNNNNNNNNNNNNNNNNNNNNNNNNNNNNNNNNNNNNNNNNNNNNNNNNNNNNNNNNNNNNNNNNNNNNNNNNNNNNNNNNNNNNNNNNNNNCUACUUGUACACGUACCUUGGAAUAUAAAGUUUGUUCAAGUUGGGUUAACUCGACUCGUGAUAUGCCAGCUUGAGUUGUAUAUUCAUGCAUGAUUGCAUCAAUCAUGAUCAGAUCCACAUCUUUCCACAUGCAUUAGCUACAUC
rnacentral:lncRNA from 1 species